UGGAUUUGAUUAGUAGAUUGAUUGUUGUUUAGACUGAAUGUAUGAUCUACUGUUAUGGUUGUGUGCUUGUGAACGGAAGAGACAUCAUGGUUGUGCCCUUGGAGACUGAGGAGGAGGUUAUGAUUAUUUAGUUUGUUAACUGAUGAAAUGAUAUGUUUUUACUGACCUUGGGCUAAAUUAGAGCAAGACGGCUGUUUGGGGUUAAAUAAGGAGUUUAUGUAAUGAGAAUGUUUAACUGAAAUGUGAACGACUGUUAAGAUGUUUAGAAUGGACUGAGGGGAAAAAUUGUUAGCUUUUAUUGGGAUGUGUGCCUUGUAGGUGUCCCACGGGAUCACCAAUUAUUCUGCACCCUUCGGGAGCAUUAGACUGAUAGGUGUUUCUGCAGAACACUAGACUGAAAUGUACGUCCCUCGGGGCGUUAGACUGAAAUGUGCAUCCUACGGGAUCACAAGACUGCGACUGUACAGGGUGUCCCAAUAGAAUGUUAACAAUUUAUUUUCCCCUGACGGGACCAGUAGAGGGUCUCUUACUGGGUAUUUUUAUACUCACCCUCCUUAUGUUUAAUUUUUCAGGCAAAGGUAAUAAAGGCGGUAAACCGGCGAGGGGCAGGAAGGAAGCGUGAUUGCCAUAGGGGAUAUUUUAAUUUGCUUCCGCUUAAUGUUUUGUUUCUCGUGUUUUGUUUUAGUACUUGAGAUUGUUUAGAAAAUUUUAUAGUUGAACUGCAUUCAUGAAUUGGUAAACCUUUCUUGAAAGUGUUGGUUAUUUUAAAUAGGGCCCAUAUAUAAAUUUUUGCUUUCUUUGAGACUUUGAAAUUAUUUGAAAUUGAGAUUUUGUGUAAACUCAGGUCUUUGUUUGAAAUUAAUGACUUCGACUUACUUAGAAAAGUUGGGUCGUUACAAAUGUAUAUUAUGCCAGACUGAUAUAGAAGUAGAUACGAUGGAUAAUGUAUUUGUAAACUGAGAAAGGUGUUAUGUAUAUAUAUAUAUAUCUUGACUGUCUGGUGUGUUGUUAUAGUAUCAACUGAUUUUGUGAUAGAUUGAAUAGAUUGAACGUAAGUGUGUUAAGUUGGAUUGAUGAUAUGAUGGAGUAGUUUGACUAUACUAGGAAUGGAUUGAUUAAAUGUUUAUGACAGACUAAGGGAAAAUUGUUAGCUUUGUCGAUUGGGUAGUGUGCCUUGCAGGUGUCCUAUGGGAUCACCACCUGUUGUGCAUUCUUCGAGAGCACUAGAAUGACAUGUGCAUUCUUCGAGAGCAAUAGACUGACAUGUGCAUUCUUCGAGAGCACUAGACUGAUAUGUGCUUUCUGCAGAGCACUAGACUAAUAUUUGUGUCCUUUAGGGCAUUGGACUGAUUAUGUGUAUUCCUACAUGAUCACAAGACUUUUAAAGUGCAGGGCACCUCCAAUAGGAAGUUAACAAUUUUAUUUUUCUUCUAACAGGAUCAGUAGUACUGGGUAUGUUUAUACUCACCCUUUUAUGUUUAAUCUUUUUCCGUGAAACUGCCAUAGGGAAAUGUCCUUCAAAUUGCUUCAACUUUAUAUUUUUUUUUAUUUUGGUUUUCUUUAGUAAUUGAGACUGUUUUGGGUUUCAUGAUUGAACGACUUUUAUGUUCUUGAACAUUCUUUAUUAUCGAUACUUUUACACUUUCAAAAUUUUAUUUGAAAUAGAGCCCGAAUAAAAACUCUUUAAUGUUGUUAAAAAAUAUAUUUUUUUAAAUUAUAAAGUCUUAUGGUUAAAGGACGAAUCUAGUCUUAAAGUAAUAACUUCAGCUUAAUUCGAAAAAUUAGGUCGUUACAAUCUAUUUUGCAGAAAAGAAAAUCAUCGAUUUUAUUUUCGUUAAGAAAAGUUGUUUUUCUUCUACAUAUUUAUAACUCUUUUUCUUUCAUUGAGUAGGAGACGGGGUAGGAGAAAAUCAUAGGAUUCUAUUAAAUUGAUGUGUGAAUUGAUGUGGAUUGCCGAAAGUAUACAUGUGAAUGACUGAAAUUAUGCUUAUGUGUACAUGAUGAUAUUAAUAGAUUGUGCUGUAUAAAGAUUUGGAUGUGAACUAGUGAAUUUGAUUCGGUUGGAUGUGGAUUAUACUGAACUGUGGUUUGCGCUGGUAAAAAUGAGGGGUGUUGUGACUUUGUGGUUUACUUGACGAAUGUAUUAAAAUGUUAUCAACGACCUUCGAACAUAAGUGAGAUAGGUUGACUGUUAGAAUGUUGAGUGAAAGAACUUUAUAUUUUGAAGUAACUGAAAGAUGUCAUAAAUUACCGUAAAUAUGGUUAGAAUGGAUUGAGGGGAAAAAUUGUUAGUUUUACUAGGAUGUAUGCCUUGUAGGUGUCCUACGGGAUCACCAAUUUUUAUGCGACCUUCGGAGAAUUAGACUGAUAUGUGUUUCUGCAGAACACUAGACUGAAAUGUACGUCCCUCGGGGCGUUAGACUGAAAUGUGCAUCCUAUGGGAUCACAAGACUGCGACUGUAUAGGGUGUCCCAAUAGAAUGUUAACAAUUUAUUUUCCCCUGACGGGAGGGGGACCAGUCGAGGGUCUCUUACUGGAUAUUUUUAUACUCACCCUCCUUAUGUUUAAUUUUUCAGGCAAAGGUAAUAAAGGCGGCAAACCGGCGAGGGGCAGGAAGGAAGCAUGACCGCCACAGGGAACACUUUAAAAUUUUGCUUCCGCUUAGUGAUUUAUAGUAUUAUUUGUAUUCGAACGUGAGACUGUUUAGAAAAUUUUGAGGUUUUAAAGUAUUCAAAGAUUUGAAACUUUUUAGUUUUAAAUUUUCAUGUGAAUUUUAGUAAUUUAAAACUGGGGCCCAAACAAACAAAAUAAAUUUUGUUCUUUUGAGGUUUUAAAUUUUAAUUAAACUCGGUCUUUUGUCAAAAUUAACGAUUUUGACAUAGUUAGAAAAGUCGGGUCGUUACAAUUAUAAUGUAUGACUAUAUAUUAUACUAAUUAUACUAAUUUCCAAAGUAAAUUUGAAUAUUUCAAAUUAGAACCAAUAUAAAUAAAUCACAUUAUCAUUUUGUAUCAUCCAUUACUUUGUAUUUAGUCAUACUAAUUGGAUCAACCUAAUACAUAAAACAAAUAUAGAAAAAUUAAAAAAAAAGCAUGCACAAAUAGAGACAAAUAGACAUUAAUAGCUAUCUAUCUCUAUCUAUCUAAAACAAGCACACAUAAAUUGUCCUAUUUCUCUAUCGAAUGGACAAAAAUAGCAGUCUAUUUAUAAAUACCUGAGAUACAAACAUUAAAAAAAAAAAAAAACCUUACCAAUAAAAUUCUUGACUUUUCAUGUUAUUCUAAAUGCAACACGUUCUCAGCCCAAGAAGUCAAACAACUCUUCAUUGUAAAAGUAGCUUUACUUCUUUCAUCAAACCACUUUUGCAAUACAUCUCUAAUUGAACUAAGCAUGGUAGCUACAGGUAGUUCUCUAAGAUCUUUAAAAAAUAAAUUUACACUGUCUACACAAUUUGAUGUCAUCAUUCUAUAUAUGAAACUCAUUAUACCUGAGAUAGAUUCAACCAAUUUAUCAAAGAACCUUGGAAUCAACAUGUAUGAUUUAACUGUGUCACCUUUUAAUAUCUUUACUAUAUGUUCUUUUGCCCUCCAAGCCUUCUGCUAACUUAUAUUAACUCCAAGAUUUGUACAUGCCUUAUGCACAAUUGCUUUUGGAAUGAAACGAUUAGUAGACAUGAACCUGAACUCAUCUAUCAAGCAACUGUCAAUUACUGUUGAAGAAGCUUGCAUGUGACAACUAGUAUACAAUGAACAGUCAUGUUCAUAAAUGUAUUUUCAUAGCAUCCACAACUCGCUCUUCUUAUAACGAGAUGUCCUAAUAAACCAUUUGCACUCUUCUAGUAGGCAUCUAAAUUCAAGAGACCUCAAAUUUGAUAUUGUAGUUCUAAAUUGAAAGUUGUUAUUCACUUCUAUUAUGCCAAAACACUUUGAAAGCACUUCUUUACUUUCAAAUAAACUAUUUUCCUUCAAAUCACCAUGAUAUGAGAUGUCUCUUAUAAUUUCAUCAUUUGAAACAUAAGAAGAAGAACCUACAUGCAAUGACAUAUCAACAUUCUAUCGUACACUACUAGAAGAAGAAGACCUUCUAAAAAAAUUAACAGUUACAUGAGCAACUAAUGGAUGUAUGUUAGUUGCAUCUUUAGCGAAAGAUAAAUACCAAGCCACAUCAUUGUCUUUCUUUACUGGCACCACAGUUGGACCUUGCUUUUACCAAAAUCAAGUAAAAACAGAUAAUUCUACUUAUCCAUCCAAUUGAAUCUAUUCACAUAUUAAAUCAACUAGAGAAUUAAAGCUGACUCAGACAUCUACCAAAAUUUCAGCAACUAAGUAAUUCUCAUAAAUAUUACAUCCAUUCCAUUGACCUCCAUAAAAAACAACAAUAGGAAAAGACAUUAUAAUCUGUAAAAAAAAUAAAUAAAAUAAAAUUAAGUAUUUAAUUGUGAUAGAAAGAAAUAGAUAGACAUAGAUAUACAUUUAUUACUGAAUAAAAGAAUAAAAUGUACAAAAUGAUAAUACUAAACACAAUGCAAGAAUAAGUAAACGAUCGUGCAAUGAAAUAAUAUACAUUAAACGAUCCUAUUAACCGUGAUAAACGACCAUUUAACAACGGUAAAUGAUAAUAUUGAUUAAAAUAAAUUAUCGUGUUGACAUGGGUACACGAUCAUAUGAUAUUGGUGAUCGUAUUGAAUAGUGUAAACAAUCGUCUUGUUAUCGGUACACGAUUGUGUUAAUAUUUGUAAGUGAUUCUAUUGAUAGUGGUAACUGAUCGUGUAAUUCCAUGUAAAUUAUCGUCAAAAACUUUAAACUAUCAAUCUUUAUAAUGAAGUACAUAAUUCUUACAUUAAUACUUAAAAUUUGUUGUAACGACCCAACUUUUCUCACUAAGUUGAAAUCAUUAAUUUUGACAAAGAGACCUUGAUUGACACAAAAUAUAGUAAAAUUCACUUGAAAUCAUAGGAUCAAAGAAAACAAACUUAAGUUCGAGCCCUAUUUCAAAUAACCAAAACUUUAAAAGUACUAUUUACAAAACAACAGUUCGUAAACUUAGUUCCAUCACAAAUUUUUUAAACAACCUCAUGUACAAAGGAAAAACAAGAAACAUAAAGCGGAAGCAUUUGAAGGACAUUCCGUUAUGGCAAUCACGUCUCCUUCUUGUCCCUCGUCGGUCUACCUCCUUUGUUACCUUUGCCUGAAAUAGUUAAACAUGAAAGGAUGAGUAUAAACAUACCCAAUAAGAGACCCGCUAUUGGUCCCGUUAGGGGAAAAAGAAACUGUUAACUUCCUAUUGGGGUACCCUACACAGUCACAGUCUUGUGAUCCCGUAGGAUACACAUAAUCAGUCUAACGCCUCAAAGGACGCAUAAAUCAGUCUAGUGUUCCGCAGAAACACAUAUCAGUCUAAUGCUCCCGAAGGAUGCACAUAUCAGUCUAGUGCUAUCGAAGGAUGUACAUAUCAGGUGGUGAUCCCGUAUGACACCUACAAGGUAACUACCCAAUAAAAAUCUAACAAUUUUCCCCUCAAUCCAUUCUAAACAUCUUAACACUCAUUCAUAGUACAGUCCAGCUACUUCAACAUAUAAUCCUUUCACUUAACACCCUAAUAGUCAACCUAUCUCACUUUAGCCCAAUGUCCACCAGUAACAUAUCAAUACAUCAGUCAAUCAAACUAUAUAGUUAUAACACCCCUCAAUUCACCAGUACACAGCCAUACUUUAGUAUAACCUACACCCAAUCUAAACGACAAUCACAAGUUCACAUCCACAUUCCAUACAAACACAAUCUACAAUUGUCGUCCUGUCUACAUCCAUACAUAUAUAUAUAUAUAUUUCCAGACAAUCACAAUAUGCAUUCAACAUCAAGUCUACAUCAAUCCAUGUAUAUAUUUUUUUUUUCAGUCAUUCAUAGUAUACAUUCAACACCAAGUCUACAUCCAUACGUAUAUAUAUCGUUUCGACAUCUUUACUCAAUCGGAGGUAACUAUACAGACAGCACAAUUCAAAACUAUAGGUGAGUCCAAUAGUAGAGAAUCCCUUACCUUAUAACCUUACUUAAGCUUCUUUUUCAAACUAAAGUGCAACGAACCGACCUAAACAUAAUUGAAGAGAAAUAAAUCACUUCCACAAACAAUUUAAUCCAUUCAAUUCACUCCAUAUGUAAAUUCCGUAACUUACCCAAAUUUUGGAGAAUCAAAUUCUAACGGAGACAGAUCGGUGCAACAAAUAACCGAACAAUUCAGAUCUAAACAUACAUGGCGUGACGAAACCGGUGUUACUCGGGCUAACGGUGAUGCGACGAUAGGACAAAAUUUGCUUGACGUUCGGUGUAGGUGGAAGACGGUGGUAAAGUUGAUUGGAGAAGGAAAAGUGAAGGAAGAAAAGAGAUGGUGGUAUGGCCGUAGGUUGAAGAGGAAGAGAAAGGAAGAAGAUGAAUAGGAAAAGAGAAAAAAUAAGAUUAAAUAUUAUAAAUAUAUAUAUAUGAAAUACAAAAAAAAAAAAGUAGAAUAACGAUGAAAUUUUGAAAAAUGAAAAUUUGGAUAAGUAAAAUUUGAAAAUAAAGAUUUGAUACAAAUCCAAUAUUUGGAGAAAAAAAAGUGUGUUAAGAUAAUGUAGGAGAAAAUCAAUAUUUAUGCUAAAAUUUUGCAUAUUUCAAAAUUAGUUACAGUUUAACUAAAAAGCAGGCGAGGAGAUUUUAGGGUUAAUGAAAAUUCAAAACACGUGAAAUGCUCAUGUUUGCUAUUCUUCUAAUAAAAAUUUUGCUAUUUUCUCAAAUGAGUGUAAUCCAACAAAAUGAAGUUGUGUGUGUGAACAAAAAUGAGGUAAAUAGCUUUGAUGAUGAUGGCAAAUGGGUAAAGAAAAUCUUAUCUUAUUCUUCACUUUUCAUUUAAUUGACAAAAAGUAACCAACCAUAUGAAGGGAAAAACAAAAUGCUCUCUCAGUUACUUUACUCAUUUCUUUGUUCUUUGUGUGGGAGAUAUUUGAAAUGGAGAUGAAGAUCAAAAUCAAAGAGAGAUUAUGCAUACACUGUGAGAAGCACACAGAAAAAUUGAAAAUAAAUUGAAAAGAAGAGAGAGAUAAGUCUGAGGGAGAAAUAUUCAUUUCCUUUUCAAAGUGAAUUGCAAAGAAAUUUUCUCAAAUUUGAAAAGAAAGGAGAAAUAUACAAAGUCAGCCACCGCUUCUUCUCCCUUCAGUUUGCAAUUUUCGUCUCCCUCUCUUCUAUUAUUAAAAUAAAUAAAUAAAAUAUCACAACCCGACUUAACACAAACUAUUUACUCCAACUUUUUCAACUACAAAUUUAAUUUCUCAACUUUUAAACUAUUUUAAACUUACAAACCGGCGAGGGCAGGAAGGAAGCGUGACCGCCACAGGGGACUCUUUAAAAUUUUGCUUCCGCUUAGUGAUUUAUAGUAUUAUUUGUAUUCGAACGUGAGACUGUUUAGAAAAUUAUGAGGUUUUAAAGUAUUCAAAGAUUUGAAACUUUUUAGUUUUAAAUUUUAAUGUGGAUUUUAGUAAUUUAAAACUGGGGCCCAAACAAACAAAAUAAAUUUUGUUCUUUUGAGGUUUGAAAUUUUAAUUAACCAAGGUCUUUUGUCAAAUGUUAAUGACCUCGACUUAGGUAAAAAGUUGAGUCGUUACAAAAACCGUUAGUUGGCUACGUUUUGGAAGCUCGAUGACUAAAAUGGAUGUUUUGAAAGUUCUAAGGCUAAAAUGGAAUUUAAAUCAACAUAAUAGUAAGUUCAAGAUCAAAGAUCAAAGCAAGCAACAAUAAAAUGUUACGACCAGAAAACAAUCUAAUCAUAAUUAGAAACAUGGAUGUAUGUAUUUGUACACCAAAUCACAAAAAAUAACUCCAGAUUUCGAUCUAGAGACAAUUAAAAACUUGAACAAAUUUGAUAAUUAAAGAAACAUGGAGAUGGCCAUAUGUAUGGAACACUCAGAGAACACGUGUUGAACACUAGUUAGUACAGUAGAUGUGUUAGACAACAAGUAUUCCAAUGCAAUAAAGGUCAAGAUUGGUCACACACAAUAUUAAACUCUUGGCUUUGAAUAAGUUUUGAGUGAAGGACAAGCUUAGUUUUAAGCAUAUAAAUACAUAAACUUAUUGACUUUGAAUUUCUAUAUAAAUAUGAUACAUACUUUAUAAAUUAUAUAUAUUAAAACUUUGUUCUAGCACUAUCCUAUAUUUUUUUUAAAAAAAAUGACACGUCACCAUGUCUAUGAUUUAUUGACCCAUGUCUAGAAUUUGUAUACGUGCUUGUUUGUUGAGAACUUCACGUCUUCAUUAGAUGGGAUGAUAGCCAUAUUAUAGUGGUUGUAUAUGUAAUAUAGAGAACCAAACCUAGUACUCGAGAUUUGUAUAAUAACAGAGAACUUACAUUUCCACCGGCUGACUUGACUAUCAGGGAUAGAGUUUUAGGUGGUGGUUGAGCGUGAGCUGAUAUGCAAAUAUCAUACCCUUCAAAUAAAACUCCAGGACAUGCUUUUGCCCUGAGAACUGCAGCUUUUAAGCUGGCUCGAUACUUCGAUAUGUAGUCAUCAUCAUUUAGUAUGUAAGGCAACUCGUCUGCAGAUCAAUAAGGAAUUAAUCAAUCACAAAAAUUAGGUAGGAUGAAAAACAUAAGUGGAAGAAAAUACAUUACGCUUUGAUACUAGCAAGCCAUUCGAACUUACCAACAAAUAUGCCUUCCUGGUAGCUUUCCUUUAACCAACUGGAGGAGACAAUCCAAGCUCUGAGUAAUUUGCAAUUAACUUGCAAUUUUAGUAACAAGAUAUAGUAAAAAAUUAUGAGCAAGAGCACACUGAUAUGCUUGAAGCCACAUGGUAAUGCAUAUGCUCGAUAAUCAUUGAGAACAUUAACAGGAGAAAAUAAAGUUAAGAACAGUAGCUUGAAGAAUAAAAAACAUUCUACAACAUAAAAUCUUCAAAAACACAUUGCUUAAAAUCAAGUUUACUAAUAUAAAAGGUAAGAUAUUACGUUCCACUCUCCACACUACUAAAGUUCAACAUUUCACAUAUUGAAAGGUAAAGAAUAUAACUGAAAAAAAGCAUAAAUAGGUAAGAAAAAGCAUAGAGAAAUGCAAAAGAAUCCUUGGCUUUGAUAUAUUGAAAGGUAAAGAAUAUCAAACAUAGAUGCCCGGGAGAAGAACUCCUACAAAUACACACUUAACGCAGAUUAUCAUUCGCUAACAUGGGACCUUCUAGAGGAAUUCUGUUAGGAUACUUCCUAACAAGAACAAGAUCUUAAUUUAUUAUAAUGAACUAUAAGAAAAUACAAGAUAAAACCAAGUAUAAGGCACUUGGAACCUCCCUCUUGAGUACACUCACCCAAGCCCUAGAUCACUCCCCAGAAUUCUCCCCUCACUUACCCUCCCUCCAUUUAUAAUAAGAUGUAACCACCACUUACAUAAUAACUACUAGUAACUUUCUAAAUAUCUAAUUACCCUUAUACCCCUAACCUUAUACUAAUCUAGGUAUCUAACAUUACCCGAUCCUUCAAAACACCUUGUCCUCAAGGUGUGCUUACAAACAUGAUCAAGGCCCCUUUCUCUUUUUUUCUCUUUGUAAUUGCAAACAAUCCCCAGCAUUCUGCUCUUCAAUGUUGAAAAAGAAAUCCUCCCCUUCGGCUUUGAAAAAAUCUCGAUUCCAAUAAGGUCCAUUUGACUGCAGCCCCACAAAGCAGCCCAAUGUACUUGAAUUUUCCUUUUCCAAAACACAUUGUCUUAGUUAACCCUUUGCAUAUCACCAACAAGUGUUUAAUUUUCAAACUCUUCAUCUCUAGUGGGCUAGGCCAUAAUCAAAGUGUUGCGUCAAGACCAAAAUCAUACUGCCGCCGGUUUCAUUCCUAGGACCCACCUACUGUAACGACCCGACUUUUCAUAUUCCGCCACCAAUAAAAUCGUUUUAGAUCCUGAUACAUUUUUGUGCUACCAGGAUGCAUGGAAAAUGGGGAAUUAUGGGCUUCAUCUAGUAAGUCAAUCUUAACUGCACUGUUCGCUGGCACACACAAACGUCUCUCAAACAUCAAUCCACCAGUAGAGGAUAUGGAGAACUCAUCAGUCUGCCCUGUUCCAACGAGGCGACGUCUCUCCAUCAAAUAAGGAUCACUACUCUGAGCAUCAAUAAUCUUCUGCCUCAGAGUUGGUUGCACCGUUAAUUGAGCUAACUGUGAGGUGACUCUCCCCACAGAUACUGCAAUCUCAGCUCUCUCCAAGUCUCGAUGUAACGGUACCUGUCUAGUAAUGAGUGCUGCCGAAUGUGAUACUUUUCUACUAAGAGCAUCAGCCACCACAUUCGCCUUACCAGGAUGGUACAAUAUCUCGCAGUCAUAAUCCUGUAACAACUCGAGCCACCUUCGCUGUCUCAUAUUCAACUCCUUCUGAGUGAAGAAGUACUUCAGGCUCUUAUGGUCAGUAAAGAUUUGUAUCUUUUCAUCAUACAAAUAUAUGUCUCCAUAUCUUCAGUGCAAAAACAAUUGCUGCCAACUCCAAAUCAUGUGUGGGGUAGUUCUGCUCGUGACUCUUCAACUGACGAGAGGCAUAAGCAACCACCUUACCUUGCUGCAUCAAAACACAACCCAGUCCUUUCUUGGAAGCAUCACUGUAAAUCACAAAACUUCCGGAUCCAUCUGGUACUGUAAGGACCGGUCCAGUAACUAACCUUUGCUUAAGGUUCUGAAAACUAUCUUCACAAGUUGGGCUCCAAGCAAAAGGAGUUCCCUUCUGGGUCAACUGAGUCAAGGGAGUAGCCAAACGUGAAAAAUUCUCUACAAACCUCCGGUAGUACCCUGCUAAACCCAAAAAACUACGAACCUCACUAACUGUAGAGGGUCGAGACCAAUUGGUAACCGCUUCAAUAUUUGCAGGAUCUACAGAAACUCCCUCACUGGAAACCACAUGACCAAGAAAAGCCACCUGCUUCAACCAAAAUUCGCUUAGAGAAUUUAGCAUAAAGUUUAUUGACUCGAAGAGUCUCUAACACUUUAUGUAAAUGUUCCUCAUGUUCGGCCUCAGUCUUGGAAUAAACCAAAUAUCAUCAAUGAAGACUAUCACAAAAGUGUCUAAGAAAUCCUUAAACACCAUGUUCAUCAAAUUCAUAAAUACUGCAGGUGCAUUAGUCAAACCAAAAGACAUUACUAUGAAUUCAUAAUGUCCAUACUCGAACGAAAUGCAGUCUUAGGAAUAUCACUGUCUCUAAUCCUCAACUGGUGAUAACCUGACCGUAAGUCAAUCUUAGAGAACACUGUGGCUCCCUGUAACUGAUCGAACAAAUCAUCGAUUCUGGGUAAAGGAUAUAUGUUCUUGAUUGUUACUUUAUUCAACUCUCUAUAGUCAAUGCAAAGACGCAUCGACCCAUCCUUCUUCUUCACAAACAAUACUGGUGCACCCCAAGGCGACACACUAGGUCGAAUAAAACCUUUGUCAAGCAACUCCUGUAACUGUACCUUCAGUUCUUUCAACUCGGCAAGAGCCAUCCUAUAAGGGGCUCUAGAAAUGGGAGUAGUGUCUGGCUCCAACUCAAUGGCAAAAUCAAUCUCCCUAUGUGGCAGAAGUCCUGGAAGAAUCUUCUAGAAACACCUCUGGGUAUUCUCUUACCACAGGUUCUGAAGUUAAAGAAGUCUCAUCUUCCCUAGUAUCCACCACACUUGCUUACUUUAGGCAGUACUACUGUUCCUCCCCCUUUGAAUUUAAAGCUAGAUUCGGUAGGGGGACUGAACACAACCUCCUUACGAGAACAAUCAAUGCUAGCAUGAUUAGUAGCUAGCCAAUCCAUGUCUAAAAUUACAUCAAAGUCACGCAUAUCUAAUACUAACAAGGUUACGUCCAGCACACGACCAGCUAUCUCAAUUUUUACAUGCUUUAAUCUUUUCCUUAGACAACAUAAUUUCUCCAGACGGUGUAGACACUGACAAGACAUAAUCUAAGGGUUCCACCUCUAAGCAUGCAUGCGUCACAAAAAGCGAUGAAAUAAAUCAAUGAGAAGACCCUGAGUCAAACAAGGUUAAGGCAAAAUGCCCUAACACUGGUAGUGUACCUGUCACCACUAUGCCGACCUUCUCUGCUUCUGAUCUACUAGUGGCAAAGAUUGUACCCGUUGUGGAGGUCUCGCUCCCUCACUGCUCUGUCCAGCCCCAGUAGAUCUCAAGGGACAUCGAUCAGCCAUGUGUCCCUCUUGCUUGCACUUAUAACAGACUCUCGUUCCCAUCAAACAAUGACCCAGGUGGCGUUUCCCACACGUAUUGCAUAGUGGCUUCUCUCUAGUAGUGUCUCCUGCCCCACCAGAACUCUGCUGGAAACUGCGAAAAGGAUCGCCUGAUCUCAAGUUCCUCUGAGGAACUCCCACAAUUCUCUGCUCUGCUUUCCUCUUCUGACUAGACGACGUUCCCUUAUCAGAACUCCUUGCCUGAAUUUCGUCCUUCCCAAUACUCAUAUCCACUGCCAGACGCAGCGCUUCAGCCUGGGUAGUGGCUUUAGUGCUCGCACAAAGCCUCUAAUCUCAUCUCUCAAUCCUUUGACAAACCUUUCAGCUCUAGCCUGCUCAUUACCAACAAAUUCAGGGGCAAAGCGCGACAGCAUAUCAAACUCCUGGUCAUACUCCUCAACUGUCAUGUGUCCUUGCUUCAAUUCCAAGAACUCCUGGCUUUUGGCGUCUCUAAGGUUAGCCGAGAAAAACUUGGUAUAGAAGCAGUCUUUAAACUGAUCCCAAGUGAUCUGUCUCACAUCUCCACCUAACAUACACAUCGUAGUCCUCCACCAAAUAAUACCUCUGUCCCUCAGAAGAAAAGCAGCACACUGAACCCUAUGCUCCUCUGGACAUCUCAUGUAAUUAAAUAUGGUUUCCACAGAGGACAACCACAACUCAGCUUUAGUAGGAUCCUCCAGUGACCCAUCAAACGUCUGAGGGUCAUAUUUCCUAAAGUCUCUCAAAUGUUUCGCCUGAGUAGAAAGCUGGUUCGGUUGUAUCUGUGGCUGUUGUGCAGCCAAUCCUUGUGCAAGAGGGGCUGCUGGUGCAGGUGGAGCUGCUGGUACAGGGGGAACCACCGGUGCAGGCGAAACAACUGGUGCAGGUGGAACUGCAGGUACCUGCUGGUUCUGAGCUAUAGCCGUCAUAAGCUCCGUGAACCUCUGCUCCAUGUGAGCAAACAGUGCAACAACUCAACGUGAGUCACGGGUGCAGCAGGAAUUCGCUGUUCAGCUUGACCCUCAGUAGGUUGAUUAAGACCUGCUCCUCUACCCCGGCCUCUACGACCUCCUCUACGAACACCUCUUUGGCGGCAUAAUUCCUAUUAUCCACCAACAACUCUCUUUUUUAAAAAGUCUUAAUCAUAAGCAUAAAGCAAAUCUUAAUCAUCGUGCAAUCUAGUUUAAUUUAGGCAAAGUCAUGCAAAUAAACCAUACAUAUAAGCAUAAAGCAUACCUGACGAGAGACGAAGGGUCGCGUUAGCCAUAGGGACACAAAACAUAGACUUACAUCGUAAGUCAGUCUACAGAACCUAAAACUUGGUCUCUGAUACCAACUGUAACGACCCGACUUUUCUAACUAUGUCAAAAUCGUUAAUUUUGACAAAAGACCGAGUUUAAUUAAAAUUUAAAACCUCAAAAGAACAAAAUUUAUUUUGUUUGUUUGGGCCCCAGUUUUAAAUUACUAAAAUUCACGUGAAAAUUUAAAACUAAAAAGUUUCAAAUCUUUGAAUACUUUAAAACCUCAAAAUUUUCUAAACAGUCUCACGUUCGAAUACAAAUAAUACUAUAAAUCACUAAGCGGAAGCAAAAUUUUAAAGUGUCCCCUGUGGCGGUCAUGCUUCCUUCCUGCCCCUCGCCGGUUUGCCGCCUUUAUUACCUUUGCCUGAAAAAUUAAACAUAAGGAGGGUGAGUAUAAAAAUACCCAGUAAGAGACCCUUUACUCGUCCCGUCAGGGGAAAUUGUUAACAUUCUAUUGGGACACUCUGUACAGUCGCAGUCUUAUGAUCUCGUAGGAUGCACAUUUUAGUCUAACGCCCCGAGAGACGUACAUUUCAGUCUAGUGUUCUGCAGAAACACAUAUCAGUCUAAUGCUCCCGAAGGUCGCAUAAAAUUGGUGAUCCCGUAGGACACCUACAAGGCAUACAUCCUACUAAAACUAACAAUUUUUCCCCUCAAUCCAUUCUAACCAUCUUUACGGUAAUUUAUGACAUCUUUCAGUUACUUCAAAAUAUAAAGUUCUUUCACUCAACAUUCUAACAGUCAACCUAUCUCACUUAAGUUCGAAGGUCGUUGAUAACAUUUUAAUACAUCCGUCAAGUAAACCACAAAGUCACAACACCCCUCAUUUUUACCAUCGCAAACCACAGUUCAGUAUAAUCCACAUCCAACCGAAACAAAUUCACUAGUUCACAUCCAAAUCUUUAUACAUCACAAUCUAUUAAUAUCAUCAUGUACACAUAAGCAUAAUUUCAGUCAUUCACAUGUAUACUUUCGGCAAUCCACAUCAAUUCACACAUCAAAUGUAUAUAUAUAUAUGUUUCCAGUCAAAUACAACAUACACUAAACAUUUAGUCUGCAACCAAACGUGUACAUCUUAAUCAUCAUCCAUACAAUCCAACACAACUCAAAAACUUUAGGUGAGUCCAAUAGAAAGUCCCUUACCUCGAGUUAGGGAAGCUCCUUAAUCAACUAAGGUCCACGAAAAAUAUCCUAAGCAUAACCAUAAGAAAUUCGAUUAUUUUCAUAAACUUUCUCUAAUUCAAUUUCCCUCAAUGAAACUCCUACACUUACUUGAGUAUUAGCGAAAUCGAACUUCAACCAAGAUCUAAAAUGUGUUGUGCGUUCAAGGGAUUUAAGCGCUACCUUCAAUACCUUAAAUGAUUGAACAACAAUUGAACAAUUACCCAACAAUAAUACUUGGAUUAAUAUGAACAACUACGAACCCACAACUUAUUAUUAUUAUUUUUUUUUUUACCAACCACUUUGUCAGUUUACGAUGAAAUAGAGGCCACGACGCACGAACCAAACGAAACAAGAUUGCAAGAAAGAUUGGAGUAUGGGGCGACUUGGAACACACAGCAGUGGAAGGCAGGGGGUCACGCGACGGCUGGAAAACAAGGGCACGAGGAGGGCUGGGCAGAGGAUCACACGUCGCUGGGCAGAGGGUCACGCAGCGCCGACGAUGACGACCGAGGCGAUCGGCGGUCGGCUGCAGAUCUGAAAAGAAAAGAAAAGGAAAAGAAAAAGAAAGACGAGGGAGGCUAUGGAGGCUAGGGUAUGGGAAUGAAGUAGGAGAAGAAGAGGAAAGAAAAAAAAGAAUAAGGAAGGAGAUGGGGAAGGGUCACGUGAGAGAGAGAGGAAGAGAGAGAAAUUUUAAUUUCUUUUUCUUUUUAAAUUAUUAAUUAAUAAUAAUAACAUUAUAUUAUUAUUAUUAUUAUUAUUACAUUUUCAUCCUUCACUUCUUUUCUUUUCCAAAUAAUCAAAUUUCUCUUCCCAAGCCUAAAGAAAUAAAAUAACACUCAACAAAAUUUAAAAUCCUAAAAAUAGAGCAAUCUGGUUAAAAAUCAAAUAACUUAGAGUUCGGGGUUUUACACCUACAUACACGUUUUUCUUCCCUCUUAUUUUUGGAACUCUCCACCCACUUCAUCUACAAAAUGAUGUGCCCCCAAUGUUUUAUUUAGAAUAAGUUGAAGCUCAUUUAGAGUAAGUUGAAGCCCACUUGAAAUAGUAAAACCCAAGAUUGUUCCUUUUGUCCUAAUCCUCUUUCCUAUCAAUUUCUACCACAUCAUUGGCACCAUCAUGUGUGCAGCAACUUCUUCCUCGUCACAUGAUUCACCCCUAUUCCAGACCACCUUCUCGAGCCUCUGUAGAACGGUAACUGUCGGCUUCUUCUUUCUCCAUUGCAACCAGCCAUUUUGUGUUUCUUUGAGCAACAAAUUUUUCUUCACCCGAGUCUUCAUUUCGAGCCUCACAGGUAAUCCUCGUCGACCUUCCUCUAUAGUUUCUUCUUGGUCACUCUUUGCCAUCCUCUUCACCUUCGUUGUAUAACCGUUGCAAUCACGUUUUCCUCGAUUCUUCUAUGGAUUCAGCAACUUCUUGGAAUCCAUCGAUUUAUGGACCUGAAAAUUCCAAUCCGUUCUAAAUAAACACAAUCCAGAUCAGUGCCACUGAACACAGGCAUUUCAACCUUCUUGAAUUUGCUAUGAUCGUUCGAGUUUUCAUCCCUUUCAAACUUGUUUGUUUACCUUCUACCUUGAUUUCCUUCAAUGUCUUACCUCCACCUUCGAUGAUACUCUCAAUCGUUGGUCCUUUGCUCGACAAUCCUUCCAUUCUUCCAGAGAUUGUCGAAUUAUCCUUCUGCUAUUCCUUCGAUGCAUUUAGCAACCGUUCUUGUUUUUCCAACUAGAUGACCAGUCUUUUGAUGCUUUUUGGCAAGCAUAACAAGUUUUCUUCAAUUGCCAGCAACUUGUGUAACUCCACUUGUAUCCCCGAGAUUUCCUUAUCAGAGGUCUCCAACUUCUCUUCGGUCCGUUUUUGUGCUGCUCUAUCAUUCUCCCAAGUAAUAAUGCUCUGAUACCAAUUUGUUAAGAUACUGUAAAUAUACGGCAAGUGUAUCUUACUUUAUUGAAUUACCUCAACGAAUUACAGUAUAGAGAAUAAAAAAUCACUCACAUCUACUUCCUAAAGGCACACUCUAGUGAGGAUCACAACAAAGAACAAGAAAAACUAAGAACAAACCGCAACCAUGAAAAUGACCAAAACAAACAAUAAAAAGAACUUGACUUGGGCCCUCUACUUCUCCCGAGCACGAAAGACGGCAACCUCUACUUCUUUGGAAUAUUUUGUCCCCUUCUCCCUCCUCUUUCCUCCCUUUUAUUUUGCUUUACUACUACAAACUAAUGGGAAAGAUCUCCUCCGAUAUUCUCUCUCUCCUAUAAUCUCUCCUAUAUUCUCGUGUGGGUCAAUAUUACCCUUUUUAAUUCUUCUACUGUAUUUAAAUAAUAUUGGAGACAUAUACUUCCUAACAAUAACAAGAUCUGAAAUUAUUAUAAUGUAACUAUUAGAAAAUACAAGAUAAAACCAAGUAUAAAGCACUUGGAACCCUCCUCUUGAGUACUCUCACCCAAGCCUUAUAUCACUCCCCAAAAUUCUCCCCACUUACCCUCCCUCCAUUUAUAAAUAACAUGUAACCACCCUAGUUACCACACUUACAUAAUAACUACUAGUAACCACACUUACACAAUAACUACUAGUAACUUCCUAAAUAUCCAAUUACCCUUAUACCCAACCCUAUACUAAUCUAGGUAUCUAACACUAAUUCCAUAACAUAAUGUAUUAGCGGAAGAAGGAAAUCGAGGAUAAAAACACUAGCUAGCCAACAAAUAUCUUUCAUUAGUGAGCUUGAGCCAUUUUACACGUAAAAUGGGAAAAGUAAGCCUGAAACCCAAAUUAGCCUAAUGGUUGUCUUAACAACCAUUACCCACCAUCACGAUAGAAACAACUGAAAAGGAAGAGCAUGAUACAAUCCAACUCAAACAUAAGAAUUGAUUUUGAUGUUUAACUAAAAGUAAACAGGCAGUAGAAUAAGAAACUAUGCCCUUUUAGAUCUAGAAGGUUCACAAUAAUUUCCAGCCUAAGCACAACUACGAGGUAAUGGAAGAAUAACGACAAAGGCCUUGUGUGCAUGGAAUCGCUAACUUUGGUGCAAAUGAGAUGGUUAUCAGUAUUCAAAGGCCAAAAGGACACAUAGAAGAGUGUUCGUCUAAGGAUCCAAGACUAACCCUAAAAAGAGAGCAAUACAAAAAUUUAGAGUUUUCCGCACUUUUCCUGUAAUGACAUGAGUCCUUCUACUCCCAUCAGCAGUGAGAGAACUACCAAGCUCCUCAAUCAUCUGAAUCAGAAAACAACUGCACAUUAGAGCAGUCACAAUUUGGAAUAAAUAGAACUUUUUAUUGUUAGAAUCUUAGAAUAUUUAUGAAAAGUUUAUGGGAAUAUUUUUCUUAAUUCCUAAAUAUUUUUCUUUUUUAUUCCUCUGUAUAUUCUAUUUAUUCUCCCUUGUACCUAUUGUAUUUUUCAUCAGAAAAUAAUAAGAAGAAAAAUAUAGUGGUUUUUUCUCCUAGUACACAGGUUUCCACGUAAAGUUGUGUGUUUGUUUGUCUCCCUUUCAAUAUGGUAUCCGAGCAGGUGGUCCAAGAAGGUCUUGUGUUCAAGCCUCGCAUUGUCGUUUCCUCCCCAAUUAAAAUCCAUUUCCAAUUGUUGGGCCUUUCAAAUAUUUCAAGCCCACAAGUGAGGAGGGUGUUGGUGAUAUAUAAUUGAAUUUUCUUUCUUUUUUUAAAGAAGGAUACGAGUCUCACUAUUAUUAAUAUAAAGAAAGAGUCAAAGCUCAAUGUACAUGAGGAUUAUACAAAGAGCAAAAGGGGAGAGGGAAGAUCAACAGGUGCAUCCGGGCAUCUCAAACUAGGUUGACACCCCCUUAGUGCCCUCAAAACAUCCAAAAAGCGACAACACAAGAUCAAAACAAAAAGCCACAAAAACAAAGACAAACGAAUUGAUAAAAAGAAUCUUUCCAAAGCAAAAUCAUAAUCAAAGGCAGCAUGCUGAGAACAAAGAAGAAUAAGCCUUGAUUGGUUGAGCAAAAACUGUUUGAAGUAGAGGGCUGAUCCAAAAGUCCUGAUCAUCAAAGACUUCAAAGUGGGGAUGCUGUAAAGGUUGGCCAAUAUAACACAAUAUCGUACGUCGAAGAUCUUCUUUUGCAUUACAUUUUCUAAAAUUUCCAAUCCACUCUGUUAAAGGCCUUUUCAAGGUCUAAUUUAAUGAUCCAUCUUUUCUUUUUUCGGAUACUAUAGACCUCCACAGUUUCUUUUGCUAUUAAAAUAGGAUCCAAGAUUUGGCACUCUUCUAGAAAGCCACAUUGUAAUGGAGAAGUAUGUUAGGAUUCUAACAAUAAAACACAAAAUAUCCUAACCAAAACUCUUAAUCUGCCACAACUUAUAUUUAUCCACAUAAUCAGCAAAACUCUUAAUCUGCCACUAGCUUCAAACAAAGACCCAGCCAAUUCCUUUUGAACUCCAUAGUGCCUUUAUAAUACAACUGGCAAUCUCUUCUCUUUUGGUCUCCGGAAUCAAUGCUCUAUCUGGAUUAGCUUUCUUCAAAAGAUUUUUAAUAGCUAAUUGUUUCGAAUGGCCCAUGAAUCUUCUAGUCAAUUCAAUUUCACAUGUUGCCAAGAAAGGAACCAACUCUUGAGGGGGAAGGAUACUUGGUGACUUGCACAAAAUUUCUUUUUAUGGGGAGGAAAACAAUUUAAUAAAAUCUGGACCGAGACAGUCACUGUCCUCUUGUUUCUCUGUCUCUGAUUGAAUUAUUUCUUCCUCAACUGGUUCAAAUUCUGCACUACUUACACUGGUGACUGAUUCAACUUCCAUGAAUUCAUCUUCUAGGUUCUCAACUUUUUUGAGACAAGAAGUAUCUUGCACAAAAUUAAAGAAUGAACCAGAAAGUUUGGAGGAGGAUUGAGAAAAUUUAUUACUUAAGGAGGAAGGCAGUACUAACCUUUUGCCAAUUGAAUUUAGAAUUUGUAUCUUCACACAACUUUCCUCUAAUAAAUCAGAAUUAGCCAAGCUCAUCCAAAUGUUGCGAAAAGAAGUUCUCCCUUUGGUAUAGGUCUUGAGGUGCUUAGAAAAAUUUCUGGCAUGAAAUGGAAUAACUCUUUCAUUGUAGAGGAUAUUUUAGUCUUGGGAGAGGCUGGUAAUUUUGGUUGAGAACUGAAAACAGGAGAUGGCCCGCAAGUGAAGUUCCUUGAUGGAGGAGAGGACUCUGAUUCUUCCUCCAAUUUGUCAGAAUACCAAAAGCCAUUGGAAUUCUGAUUAAUAAAAUUCUUGGGCCUACCAUAUGUGUGUCAGCUUUUAAAAUGUCUGCAGAUACUUUAAGUUUGAAAAAAUCUGGUUGGGGAGGACUAGGUGAGCUGUUUUUUUAGAUAAUAAAAUGUCGGCUGGCUGCCUUUUCUUCUUUCGAGGUCUGUUUUUCUCUCUUUUCUGUUGAAGUCUUUUCCCCUUCUAAGUACGUGGAGAUGCCAGCUAUACCCAAAUUUGAAUUUUGCCUUCUGAAUUUUUUUUUUUUCCGGCGAGGAUUCAAGGGCUGAAACUCUUUUCGGUCGAACAAGGUUUUCUUCUUCAUCACCCAACUUCCUAAGUGCUUCGAAAGGAUUUCUUGAGAUGGAUGGGGCAUUCUGUUUGAGAAAAUUCAGGUAUCUGGGAGACCAUCACUUUGGAGCCAUUCAUCUAAAAUCACUAAAUUUAUUCUACAUAAAUCAAUAGGAUUGGAAAAAUCACUUUGAAAUAGAUCAGAUUGGAUUAUUACAGGAGCUUCUAAGGGUUCAAAAUCCCCAAAAUUAAGGGAAAAAUUUCCUCAGUUCUCACUCUUUAAUUCUAUAGUUGCUGGUAAGAAUCCGCAAAGAUUUUUCCGAACUUUAAUUCUUGCUUCAGAGAACUUGAUCAGAUUGAGUGUUUCUAAGAUUAUACUUUCUAGUCCACACAAAGUAGCUUAAGCUUAAGGCUAUAAUUGAAUUUUCUUUCAACCACCAGCUUAAACUUUUUGGUGAAUCGGUGGUUUAAUAUUUAUAUUAAUAUUUUAUAAAAAAAAGUAUACAGCUAAUGCCAUAUAAAAUAAAUAAAGAAAUACUAUAAAAUCUACAUCCAUAAAAUAUGCAUGUGAACACAUAUCAGAAGAUGGAUAUUCGUAAGUUAGAAAGACCGAUAACAAAAUGUCAUAAUUAAACAACAACAUUAAUAUUAUGGGUAGUUUCAAGCUUCAUUUGUCUAUUCUAGGUAGGGACUUCAUGUGCUUGCUAGUAUACAACCUAAAAGUUCAACAUUUAAAGAAAUUGAUUAAUCAUUUUUGGCGGGAUGUCAGAUUCGCCUUUCGAAAUCCUACAUGAGUAGAGCCAACAAAAUAAGCCAAGCAAGAUAUGCCUCUUAAGGAAUAUGGAGAAGUUCAAUGACUAGGUAUGUAUAUGAUAAGCCUUAACCUCAAUUUUAUUUAUCAAUAAUGGAGGGAAGGAAUCAGAAGCUUCUCUAGCUCUCCCAAUUAUUCUAAGAAACCUGAUACAAGCUAUGCCAAAACAUACCUUCCCCAAACAAUCAUAAUAGCAUUUAUAUGAAAGCAUAAAAGACUCAUGGCCCCCUUAACUAGCAACAUUCAGACCAACAAAUACAACUUCCCAUCCACCUCUCCUGAAUCCUUUCUUGUGCCUACUGGUGUACACCUUCACUACCAUGGGCCUAUCAGUAUUUAGAGAUCGUAGAGGUUGUAUGAGCCAAGGAGCUGGAAGAGUAGGAUUAGGGAAGUGUGGAGUUUUCCGCUCUUUGUUUGGCAAAAAGUGUUUGUGGACUCCCGACAAGAAAAUUUCAAUUUUAUGCCUUAUUGACUUCGUAUGUCCUAGGCCCUAAGAGUUCAAAACUUUCUAGAUUUCACAACUUCUUGGACCACUCCUUGUGCCAAACACCCCUUUAAAGAAUACUAAGCCAAGGAUAUAAAACUUCAAUACCAUUAAUAGAAAAUCUCAUAAAAGAAACAUGAAUGAUGAAUAUUUUAGAAGACUAGAAAUUGGUACCGUACCUUCAUGAGCUGAGUUUUCUUAGUUUUGUCAGUAAUGUUCAUGAGCAUAAUUUUAAAUGAUUUUCCUAAUGUGUUCUUUUCAGAAUUGAGGUCCUCUGAUGCCACAUUUACACUUCCAAAUUCUUGACAGAAAUUUUGUGUACACUGAUUGGUUGGAUUUUUAAUAUAAAUACUUGAUAAAAUCUCAUGCUUUGAAUUGGCUAAAGAGCAUCCUUGAGAGCAGGUAUCGUAUACAUCACUUUUAGGAUCAAGAUUUUUGUUAAAGUGGGAAUGGAAAUGGUCCAGAUUGACUCCUUUUACUUUAUUUGACUUCAGGGAAGAAAUUGAUGCUUCCCUAACUCUCUUUGCGCUAUGUAUAGAGCAAGAACAAUGUGUCUCAUCCAAAUUACCAAGAGUAUUGGAUAAUUCUGCAAUACUAGCUGUCGUGUUGUUCUCUAUUUCUGCAAAAGAAACCGGACCGGUGCUGUCAUGCACUGCAUCCUGGUUUAAAUAAACCGUUAUGAGAUAAAUAAGCAACAUAUGGAGAAUAAUUUAAAUUGUACUAUCUUGUGGAACAAAACCUGAAUUACACAUACCCUGAAUUUCAUUUUCUUCUCCAAGGGGCACUAAAGUUACAAACUCGUCAUGUUGAAAAUUCAAAUUUUGAAUGGUAUGCUGAUCAGUUGCAUUUGAAACGUUGCAACCUCGAUUGGCAACACUGAUUCUUGCAGCAUACGGGGUUUCAGGCUUUAGUAGAAAAAGUAACUUUGGAAAGUCAGUCGAACACAUUGAAAUUCCCUGAAUGUGCGAAAUCCAUGGAUUUUAUUACACAUCCCAAAGGUGAACGACUUUGAGGCAUCUUGGUUAUAAUCAAUUGGUUCUCGAAGUACGCCACCUUCAUCCCCACUACAAAACUAUGUUCUGUCGAGCUGAUAGCACACUUGUUCUUUAAGAACGUCUUGAAGUUAUGGGGAGUUCCAUCAAGCAUUGUGAGUGACAGGGAUGGUAGAUUCAUUGGUACUCUCUGGACCGAACUAUUCGCCUUCUUGGAGACACGCCUAAAUAUAUCCUUAAGCUGCCAUCCUCAGACGAAUGGAAAAACUGAAGGAUUCAAUUGUAUGCUUAAGGAAUAUCUACGACAUUUUGUUGAUUCUGGACAAAAGAAUUGGGCCUAGUUGAUGGAUGUGGCUCAAUUUUGUUUUAAUGCACAAACUAGUCUAUCCACAAAGAACGAGUCCUUUCGAAAUCUUGAGUGGAAGACAACCUAUACUGCCUCAUAUUGUUGAUCAUCCUUAUGCAAGGAAAAAAUCCUCAAGCUCAUAACUUUACAAAAAAAAGUGGGAGAAGACUACGAACAUCGCUCGAGCAUACUAAGAGAAAGUCUUGAAGCGUAUGAUAAGAAGCAUCAUCCUCUCAAGUUUUGAGCGGAAGACCAACUCUUCAUAGAGUUUAAAGCAAAGCAAAUUUGAUUUAGAGGACAUCAACAUCAACAUCAACAUCAACACCAGAAAAUACGAAGGGCCUGUUGAAGUUCUGAAGAAAAUUGGAAAUGCAUCUUAUAGGGUAUCGUUGCCUGCAUGGAUAAAAAAUCAUCUAGUAGCUCAUAUGAGCAACUUGAAACCUUACCAUCAAGAUCCAAAUGACCAGUAGUGCAACAAUGGUGUAUGGUCAUCUAGUGACCUAAAGCAGAAAAGACAAUAAAGAAAUGGAAGAAAUCCUUCCUAAGAGAGUGAGGAAGGGUAUACCCAUGAAGAGGAUACAUGAAUUCCUACUGAAGUGAAAGAACCUCCAUGUGGAAGAAACACGUUAGGAAUGUGCUGAAGACCUUAGAGCAUGAAAGAAGAAGAUCGAGGAAUUCUAGCUUCGCCAGUCGACAGGGACGUCAAUUGUUUAAGUGGGGGAGAAUGUAACAAGCAUGCUUGUCCAGGGCGCUGUUUACUUAUGGCCGCAUGCCCAAACACCCCCAAUUUACAUUGUUUUUAUGUUUUGUAUUUAGUUUUACUUUUUGCUUUCCUUUUUAUGUCAUAAAACAUUUUCUCAAGAACGUGAAGAGAGGCUACAUCGUAUCAUGUGUUUGUCCGUGGUUUUUGGAUUUUGAUCAGCUAACUUGUUGUCUACGUAAAACAAGUGCAAACAUAAUCGCUCCUCUCGUGUUUGAAAGCUCGCGAUUGUGACACAAGAAAUGCACUAGCCAAGAAUGCACAUUAGGAGGGCUACACGAAAUGCCAAGCACGCAACCAAGUGAGGUUCACAAUGUGCUUGUGUGUGAGGUUAGCACGUGGGCAUGCCCAAACGCACGUGAAAAGCCUCUUGUGAGAUUCACACACAGUAAGCCAGCGCCCAACCAAGGCUCCUGCCACCCACCCAUUCGUGCCAGGCAGUGUCAUAUUGCGUGUUGAGCUAUUUUUGGUAAUUUUUUUGAGUUUUUUAAGUAUACUUUUGAUAUUUUCUUGGCAAAAGAUAAUUAAUUGUACUAUUUUACCAUUAUUUCACAACAUGAGAAGAUCAUACAAAUUUAUAAACCAAGGAUUUGAGCUUGUAUCUAUGAGUGGAAAAUGUUUUAUUUAAAGUGAUUUCAAGCAUGUUCUUAAAGUCAUGAUUUAUGACAGAUUUAAUGAUAAAAUGUUUAAGUUUAAUGUUUAUGAAAAGUUUUUCAAGCAUGUUAUUGUUUAAAGGUAUUUAUUCAAGCAUAUUGUUUACUCUUCAAAAUGCAUAAUAUUCAAAAUGUUUUCCCACUUUUCUAGGUAGAGAUCGUGUCCUCUAAGCCUAACUUGCUCAUACUUGUCUACUGAAGGAUUUCAUUUUGUUAUCGUAUGUGUCCUGUUAUUUUGUACUAAUGACAAAUUAGUCUUUUGUGCUAUCAGACUUAGGCUUUUUGGGAAGGUUUUAUAAGGUUUUGUUCUAGAUAAAUAAUAAUACGUUUUGUCUAUGUAAAACUUGUCUAAGGUUGUUAAAUGAAAAAGGUUAGCCCAAUUGGUUUUAGUAAAAUUUAUGUGUUAUGUUUUCGGCUGUUGUUUUAGAGUUUAAAAGUUCAGGCUAAGGGUCAGAUGGUGUCGUUCUUGACGUGGGUGCUAUCGAUUGGCUUCACGCCAUAUCUCGAGCCACGCAAGUAGGUGCUCAUGGUGGGAUGUGAUAGCCUAAGUUGGCUUAUUAACGGUUAAAAUGUAAACAUGCCCAUAACAAAAUAAUUGGGCAAGGCCAUGUGGACCGACUAGUAAAGGUUGAAGAGCAAAUGCUCUACCUAAUGAAAGUUCCUAACUCAAUUUACUUCUUGGAAACCCGCCUUGAAGAAAUUUUUUAGAAAGCUGAUGCUAUUAAUUAAACCACCACCCCAAAAUCUUAAGCUAGUGAUUAAAAGUAAAUUUAAUUAUAUAUCACUAACAAUCCCCCACUUAUGGGUUCGAAAUAUCUAAAAAGUCCAACAAGUGAAAAUCAAUUUUAAUUGGGAAGGAAACACCAAUACAGGGACUUGAACAUAGGACCUUUUAGACCACCUGCUCUAAUACAUAUUAAACCCAAAUUCACCCAAAAGCUUAAGCUAGUGGUUGAAGGUAAAUUUAAUUAUAUAUUACCAAAGUAUGAGUUGACACUCUAGAAUCAAAAGUUGUAAGAACUAGAUGUUGUAAUUUAUGUCAUAAAACUCGUUGUAAUCAUAAUCUAUUCAAUAAAGUCGUUAUUGAUACUAUAAUCUUAAAGCCAAUAAACUAAGGACCCGAGGUUAUUAUUAAGUAAACUUGAACUUUAUGUAGCGACAUAAAAGUUGAUCAAGUUUAAGUAUAGAGGCCUAAAUAAGUAUAGAUUGUACGAAUACAGUUAGACACCUUAUUUCAGGACACAAUGAAUGCAGUAUGCUUUGUAUUUAGUAUAAACGAUGUGAUCCUAAAUCCUAGAGACAUGAAAGUGUGGACAUCCUAUGUAAAGAGUUUACAAAAGACUAGAACCAUGAAAUAGUCACUUUUAAGUUAUAACACCGUUAACUUUGAAAAACUUACUAUUUCAUUGAUAGAUAUCAAAUAUAACUUAAUCUUAAUAUUGAGCUAACUAUAAGCUUAUGUUCUCACCAGCAUGCUUGUUUAAGGCGUUGUUUAUCUAUGGCCACAUGCCCAAAUACCCCCAAAUCACCUUUUCUUUAUGUCUUGUAUUUAGUUUAGUCUAUUGCUUUCCUUUUUUAUGUCAUAGACCUAGGGUGUGAGGUGUCACACAUUUUCAUUUGCAAACCUAUCAAAGCUCAAAAAGUCUAAACUGUACUAUAGGAGAGACCCAAUAGUUGAAUCCCCAACCAUGUCUUAUCGUAUUCUUUGUAAUCAAAUUUUUAUUUGCAAUUGAAAGUCUUCAACGCUUUCUUUAAUGAUGUUUUUAAUGAUACUCUCUCUCACAUUUUAUAAAACAAUUUUUUCAAGAACGGGAAGGGAGGUUAUAUCAUAUCGCGAGUUUGUUCGUGAUUUUCGGAUUUUACAUGACUGACUUAUUGACUGAGCAAAACAAGUGUUCUACAAUUGUCCGUUCCAUGUUUGAAAGAUUGCGAUUGUGGCACGCAGAGUGUCACAAGUGUGCUUGUCCAAGGCAUUAUUUGCCUAUGGCCGCAUGCUCGAAUAUCCUCAAACCACUUUAUCUUUAUGCUUUGUACUUAGUUUAGUCAACUUCUUUCCUUUUGUUGUCACCGACCUAAGGUGCGUCGUUUCGCAAUUUUCAUAUGCAAGGUUGUCAAAGCUAAAAAAGUUUAAGAUGUAUUGUAGGGGAGGCAUGGUAGUUGAAUCCCCAACUAAGCCCUAUUGUGAUUUUUGCAAAUCUAAGCUUUCUUUGUAAUUGACAAUAUUCAAUUUUUUCUUUAAGGAUAUUAUCAAUGUUUUUCUUUAUCUCCCACCUUUUAUAAACCAAUUUCUCUCAAAAGAUGAAGCGAGGCUACAUCGUACCACAAGUUUGUCCGCAACUUUCAAAUUUCACAAGGUUGCCUUGUUCAUCAAUUUAGAACAAGUGUUGCACACAAUCACCCGUCCCGUAUUUGAAAAGUUGCAUUUUGUGACAAGUGGUAUUAAAGCUUUGUUAGCUCCUUGGCUAAGCGAGAUGCAAUUAUGUCGACAAUGAAACAACUAUCAAAGUUGAAGAGGAAUUCUUGGAUAUGAAAGAAUUGCCAAACGAAGUAAGAUUUCUCCAGACCCAACUUGAGAUGUUUAAAGAAAAAGUCAGAGAAAUAGACGCAUUGAAUGCCUAAAUAGACAAACUACCCAUAAAUGAAUUGGCGUUGAGGGUUGAUUCGUUAGAACAUAAAACCACCAAAGUAGGUAGUUUUGAACGUGGAAGUACCUCUUCAAGUUCUAUCGCACAAAUGGAAGAGCGUGUCAAAGAGUUUGACUUUUGACAAGCUCCAACAUAAUCAGUUAUAUUUCAAGAAAGAGAAAAGAUAAUUUGGGUCACAUUAUCGAAUGUAGAAAGAUUUGAAUGGACGAACAUAAGUUGUGAGCUAUUAAGGAGUGGAGAGCCCCCACUUUCGUGAAAGAGUUACGUUUCAUCCUUCAAUAUAUUCUAAAAUAGGGUUCACCUACUAUCCUCUAGACUCAGUACGGGUCAUUCAUGUAUGUACUGGAACGAUUCAGAAUCACCUCGUUUGUACUAACUACAAAGCGGGCGGCAUCCACAGUUUCUCUGAAAAAAUCUGGGUUACUACAACGUCACCACGAUGUACAAUUUUCCUGAUAAGAUGGUACUUACGUUCGAUAUGUUUUCCCCCGUUUACGGCUUUUAGGUUCUCUUGAAUUUGCAACUGCACCACUGUUGUGAAAGUAUAAAAUGAUUGAUAGAUGCAUAUUUGGAACGACUUCCAGAUCUGUCAAGAAUUUUCUUAGCCAUAAUGCUUCUGUUGUUACUUCAAAAGUUCUAUGUAUUCUACUACCUCCAUUGUGGAAUCAACUAUACAAGUUUGUUUUAUGCUUCUCCAAACUACUACUCUUCUAUUUAGAGUGAAUACUAAUCCUGAUGUAGACUUUCUAGCAUCUUUAUCAGUUUGAAAAUCAUAAUGAGUGUAUCCAGUAAGGAUCAAAUCUUUUGUACCAUACACGAGAAUGUAGUGUUUUGUUCUUCAAAGAUAUUUUAGAAUAUUCUUAACGGUUGUCUAGUGAUCACGUUCAAGAUUGGACUGAUACCUACUGACCAUCCCUACUAAGUAGCAAAUGUCAGAUCUAGUACACAACAUUGCAUAUAUCAAACUUCCAACAGUGGAAGCUUAGGAAAUUUUUCUCAUAUCCUCAAUUUCUUGAGGUGUCUUAGGACAUUGUUCCUUUGACAAAUGAAUUCCGUGGAUGUAUAAUAGCAUACCCUUUUUGGAAUUCUACAUUUUAUAUCUAGACAACAUUUUGUCUAUAUAAGAUGCUUGAGACAUGGCUAGUGUUUUGUUCUUGCAGUUCUGUACAAUUUGGAUCUUAAGAACGUAUUGUGCAUUUCCCAGAACUUUCAUUUGAAACUGCAUAGCUAGCCAUUUCUUGAUAUUAGUAUGAAAUCCUAUGUCCUUUUCCAAUAAGUAGAAUAUCAUCUACAUGCAAGUCUAAGAAUACUACAAUGGAAUUGAUGACCUUUUUUGUAAACAUAAGGUUCGUCAACCUUUUGUAUCAAAGCCAUAAGAUUUGAUCAUAGUAUCAAAUCUUAUAUUCCAGGAUCUAGAUGUUUGUUUUAAUCCAUAAAUGGAUUUUUGAAUCUUACAAACCUUUUGUUCUUGAUCUUGAUCUAUAAACCCCUCUAAUUGAGUAAUAUAGAUACACUUUCCGAGAUUGUCAUUCAAAAAAAGUUGUCUUGACAUCCAUCUGCCAAAUUUCAUAAUCAUAAAACGUGGCGAUGCAUAAGACUAUUCUAAUUGACUUUAGCAUGGCAACGAUAGAGAAAGUUUCUUCAUAGUCUAUGUUAGAAAGAGACAUGCGCAGUGGAAAAAUGGAAUACAAAAUUACCCUAAUUGCACCUAUUUAACUUGCAACCCUAAAUUAAAAGAAUUAGGGUUUAGGAAAUAUUAUACCUUUGUAUCUAUUCGAAUAUGAACAUCUAUACCUCUCACAAAUUCCAAAAGUUUUUGAAACCAAAAUGUAACACCUUAAACUUAGGAUUUGGAAUUCGUAUCUCCAGCAUUCUCUGCAUCCCCUGCGACCUGGCAGCAUCAUCCUUACUAUUCUUAAAAACUUAUUAGAAUGAGAUUUCUCUUCACAAACCAACACGAAAUCUUUUAGCAUGCUUUUCCUCACUCACAUGCAUCCUAGGAAAAUUUCGAAGAGGUCACCCAACAUAGAAUUUCUUCAAGCUAAGCAUGCUUAACUCUGAAGUCCCUAUAAUCAAGCCACCGAAAAAAAAAGGUUCACAUUGUUGGUAUAGGUAUUAAGUUUUAAUUCUUUUCAGUCUUUCUUAACAUGACUUUCAUGUCCUCAAGGUGCACCUUGUCGUUAUACUUGUUGAUUUCUCUCUCUUUCUCUCAUUCGAACAAUUCGACUUAUUCCAUCACAAUGUUCUAAGUUUAUUCCAUAUGAACUAGCAGGGAAACCUAAUGGACUUAUAUAUCAUGGGCUCCAACGAUUCAAGAUUAAUUGGUUAAACUCUUUUAGACCGAGUUAAUCAACAUUUCAUCACAAUUCGACUUAUUCCAUCACAAUGUUCUAAAUAAGGCACUAUAGACUAUUUAGGCUAUAUACUCGAACUUGAUCCACGUUUAUGUCUCGACAUAAAGUUCAAAUGUAUUAAAAAAUAGCAUUAAGACUUAGUUUAUUGGAUUUAAGAUUAUAAAUUUUAAAUUUUUCAAUAACGAUUUUUAUUGAACUGAAUAUGAUAACAAACUACGAGUUUUAGGACAUAAAAUCCCAACAUAUGUAUUUUUGCCUCUAAUAAUAAUGUUGAAAGAUGUUUGUUGUGGUUUCAUAUGGGUGAUAUCUCUUCUGGUUGGACAUAGUUAGGUUUUGUAAUGGGUGACUUUAACGAUAUCAAAAUGCAUUUUGAGGCUUUUGAUAGGUCUUCUGUUCCUAUGGAUAUGGAGGAGUUCGAUAUGGCUAUUUGCGAGGCUUAUUUAGUUGAACCUACAGUACAGGGUAACUGGUUCACCUGGACUAGAAAGGUUCAUGGGUCUGGUUUGAUAAAAUAUUUAAUCGUAUUCUGGUUAAUGGUGUUGGAUUACUGCAUGGCCUUCGGGUAUUUCUGAUCACUCCCCUCUUAUUUUAUCCCAACUUUUAGCAGAGACAGUGGGUAGUUUCUUUUUGUUUCUUCAACCAUUGGGUUGAGGAUUCUUUGUUUAUUGAUGUUGUCUCUUUGAUUUGGAGUCGCCAUGUAGGAGUUUCUCUGAUUGUGAGUUUCGUGAGAAAUUUACAUAACCAACAAGCCUACCCUCCAUAGACAGUUUGGUAAGCACAUUCAGAGCCUAAGUGAGGAGGUUCGUAUUGCUAAAGAGUCCAUGGAUAAAGCUCAGAGAAAGGUUGGGCAAAAUCCUAUGUCUGAUGUUUUGAGUCGCUAAGCAGGUCUUGCCAUUGAGGCCUUUUGGACGGCUGUUAGAUUGGAGGAAGCCUUCAUGUGUUAGAAGUCCAAGAGGUUUGUGAGUUGCCUUAGAACUUGUGUUACCUCCUCGAUGUUCUCCAUUAUGAUUAAUGGCUCUUUCAAGGGUUUUUUAAUGGGAGGAAAGGUUUGUGGUAGAGUGAUCCUUUAUCUCCUUUCCUUUUUAUCAUGGUGAUGGAGGUCCUCUCUCGUAUGUUGAAUCGGCCUCCUCCGAGCUAUCAGUUUCACAGGCAUUGUGAGAAGGUUAGCUUAACUCAUCUAACCUUUGCUAAUGAUCUUAUGAUUUUUUGUGCUGCUGAUGAUUCCUCUCUGAGUUUUAUUAACGAGACUAUUAGAAAGUUUGGUGAUCUCUCGGGGCUAUUUACUAAUCUUAGUAAAAUUUCUAUGUUUGUUGUAGGGUUAAUAGUGAUGAUGUUUAUCGUUUGACUACCAGUUUGGGUUUUGUUCUCAGGCAUCUCCCUGUUCGUUAUCUUGGGCUUCCUUUACUUUCUGGGAGGUUACGACCUACUGAUUGUGCUCUCUUAUUCAACUGUAUUACUAGUCAGAUUCAUUCUUGGUUUGCUAGAGUUUUAUCAUUUGCAGGUAGAUUGCAACUGGUUUGAUAAUGUGCUUGAUAAUCUUCAGGUUUACUAGGCUAACGUGUUUGUGCUGCCUGUGAGUGUGCAAUCAUGAGGUUGAUAAAAUCUUGAGGUCUUAUCUUUGGAGGGGUAAGGAGGAAGGUAGAGGAGGUGUUAAGGUGGCGUGGGCUGAGGUGUGUUCCUUUUGAGGAGGGUGGUCUUGCUAUUCUUGAUGGGUCUUCUUAGAAUGUUGUGAGUACUAUGAAGAAUCUUUGGUUGUUGCUGACUAGUUCGAGUUUUCUAUGGGUUGCUUGGGUGGAGGCAUAUGUUCAUAAAGGAAGGUCAUUGUGGGAGGUCGAUUCUUGUGUUGGUCGGUCUUGGUGUCUUUGCGCUAUCAUGUGUAAACGAGAUAGUCUAAAAGAGCAUGUUAGAUGGAGGUUGGGGAUGGUAGGCAUUGUAAACUGUGCCUGGAUCCGUUGUUGCAGGGUGGUCCUAUCCUUCAACAAGUUGGUGAGAGAGCGCUUUAUAAUGUAACGAGUAGAUAGGAGGCUAGGCUCUCUAAGUUUAUUGGUUCGAAAGGGGAGUGGAGGUGGUCGAGGGUGUCUUUGGAUUUGAUUAAUUUAUGGGAUAGGGUUCAAGUUGUAAGUUCGUGUCCUAAUGUUGGUGAUAGGUGGGUUUGGGUUCUUGGCGUCAUAGUGGUUUUUUGAUUGCUAGUGCAUGGGAUACUAUUCAUCCUCGUAGUGUUAAGGUUCGUUGGACAGGUUUCUUGUGGGGUGGGGAUUGAGAGUCUCGUUAUCAUUUGUUUUUUCAUGUCCUUUUGGGUGUGAUAUUUAGUCUCGGGUCCUUUAGGUUAUGGCUUCCUCUCACAGGAUUGGGUAUUGGGGGGUUGAGUUGUUUAGGGUUUGUCAUUAGAGUAUUGGUAAGGGUGUGAGAAGGAAGUUGUGGUAUGUUCUCUGUGUGCUACGAUUUAUUUUAUGUGAAAGGAGCAUAAUCAUUGUCUCCAUGGUGGUCAAGCUCGUGAGCUCAUUGUUCUGUUUCAGCUUAUUCCAUCUUGUAUCAGUGCUCGUGUUGUUUAUUUGCGUGAGGAUGCUCAUGGUAUUAUUUAGCUUGUUUUCUUUUGAUUUUUGUUUUAUCUGCUUGUUCUCGGGCUGUGGGGUUGUUUGGACUUUUUAUGUUUUUGUUGCUCUUAAUUUUGUUGGGUUUAUUAUUGUUCUUUUUUUGAUACUUUGGAUUCUUCCUGUUUUUGUGAGCAUUGUCCGCUCUUGUGAGGUCAUCCUUGUUGUAUUAUGAUAUUAACUUUUCAAAAAAAAAAAAAGAUAAUGCAAUUCAACUUUAGAUAGAAACAUGAUUCGAAUUUUCAUUUCAAGAAAAUACAAGGGGACAGAACUCAAGGAUUAUGUGGAUCACAAAACUUGAAUUACUAGAAUCUAAAUUUCCAUAUGUUAGAUAUCAUUAGAAGCAGUUAGACCAAAAGUUAAUUAUCAAUAUGUUAGUUCACAGGAACUGCAUAAUCAAGCACAUAAACAUCCACAUUGUCAUUCAUUGUAGGCAGCUUUGAUACACAAAAAAUAUGGAUAUUUUCAGAAGUUCAAGCAUACACAAAAAACAUAUCCUUGUCAGAAAAUAGCCAACUAAGAAAGAGAAGUUCAAGAUUUAUAUACAAAGUGCAGCUGCAAAAGGACAAGCAAGAUGCCAGAAUCUAUAUAUUAUGCAGUCGGAUAUUAAUUGGCAAGUACUAACAGCAAAGGUACCAAAAUAAAACCGUAUCAAUUUAUCUUGUCUAAAACUAAACAGUAUAUGUAAAUCUUGCAAACAAACAAGUUUUUUGAAUCAAAACUGCCAAAAGAUUUUGAUUCAAGUGAUAUGUGGAUUGUGAUCUUUUGUGUCACCCAUCCAUUCCUCCUGUUUUAACCAUUUAAAUCAAUAAAUAAUUUUAUGUUCAAACAUAAGUUGGACAACCUUUGUUAAAGAACUGCUUCCCAAAACAAAUAGCAUUAACCACCCUUUUUUAAUUCAACACAUGGGAAUAAAGAUCGAAUCUCUGAUUUUUUGGUCUAAGGUACCUUUCCUAAACUUGUCGAAUUCCAUUUUCUACACCAACUUUAGAACGAGUAUAUACAUCAAGUAAUUUCAUGUUCAACUCAAAAUUGGACAACCAUAGUAUUACUCCAAAGCAAACAAUACUAACUGUUCCAUUAAAUAUUUUUUUAUAGCUCUUGAUUGUCUCACUUUUUUGUAUUUUGAAUUUACAAGCCUCUUUUUCUUUCUUUGGUAUGAAAGGUGGCAACUAGGCCUUGCUAGAACGAGUGGGGUAACCUUUCUAUGGUAGUACACUUAGUUUCGAAGUUCGAAGUUUUCCUCCUACAGUGGAUCAUCGAUAUUGAUUCUUCUACUGUUAAUUCGACCUCCCACUAAUUCUCUUCUUCUAAGGAUUCACUUUUCUCUAAGGCUCUGCACUUUACUAAAAAGCCUUGAUCUUCUUCCCCCCAAUGUUUUCAUAAACUUCUUAAGACAGACCCUGACCUUGGUUAGGCUCGGAUCUCCUUGGAUUAUCACCUUAUUCCCCUGAUAUGUAAAUGUUAACAUCAUAUUCUUCCAAUCCACUCCAGUCGUUCCCAAGGAAUACAAUCACUGCAUUCCAAGUAUGGCAACUACCCCUCCCAACUUCAAGGGUAAAAACUCAUUCACUACCUUCUAGUCUCCCAGCAUUAACUCAACAUCUUCACAAAUUACCUUCCCUUUGACUACAGUGCCCGAGCCCAAAAUGACUCCAUAAUUUGACGUUUCUCUUGUACUCAGUUGCAACUCUUUCACUAUUUUUUCUGAAAUGAAAUUGCGUGUGACUUCACAAUCAAUUAGUACUAUAGCCACAUUCCCUUGUAUCAUCUCUUUUACCUUCAUUUUCCCUAGGUUGGAUAAUCCCACCACAUAAUUAAUGGAUAAUUCCACCACACCUGACUCUCCUCUACGAUCUCAGGGGCAUUCAAUCUUUCUGAUCAAUUCCUCAUUCUUCAAUAAUUUCAUACUCCUCGCCUUCUUCCUUCACAACAAUCAUUCACAAUUCCCUUUGCUCUUUCAUCUUGCAUUUGUGGUCAUGAGAAUAUUUCUCAUUACAGCGAAAGCACAAUCCCUUCUUUCUAGAUUGAAAUUCAGCAUCAAAUAAGCGCUUCGCUGUCCCUCUUUCCGUACUUCCUCUUUUGUUGUUCCUCGUAGAGUAAUAGUUCUCAUCGGCCAAUUCAUUCCUCCUUUACUUUCUUCUGUAUUCGCAAUGGUAUUAGCCUUGGUGCUAUUAUGGGAGUUUAUCACCUUUUCUCCAGAAUAUCCAGAAAGAUUUGCUUCCUGACGUAUAUCUUCCUUGUUCUCUACCUUUUGCGCGAUUCGUAUCUUUGUGCUAAUCCCUUCGACUCACAUAAAUCCAUCUCCGCCUAGAUCCACAGUUUCAAUCCGACAUAAAUGUCUCUUUUACCACCUUCUCUAAUAGGUCCGACAAAGGAGCUACCACUUAUCGAAUAAAUUUUGAUAUUCCUCUAUCGUUUCUUUUGUUGAAUUUGCAAGAACCUUACAUACAACGAUUCCUCCCUCACGGAUCGAAAUCGCACAAUAAUCUUUCCUUCAUAUUCACCCAAUCUACAAAGUUCUCUCGUUCUUCUUGAGAACGGUAAAAGUUCAAUGCUAGUCCCUCAAAACUAAUAGUGGAUACAGUCAUUUUCUCAAAUUCAGUAAGUUUAUGAAUGUGCAAAUACCUCUCUACGCGAAACAGCCAAGAAUCGGGAUCAUCUCCAUUGAAUAUCGACAUCUCCACCUUCUUAAACUUAUUGCAGUACUAUUACUUUCAUCAUCUAUUUUCUUUCCUUCCUUCCUUGUUUCGUUCUCCCAUCUUGGUCACCCUUCGCCUUCGUCCACAUUCUUCGUCGAUGAAUUGUGCAUUGUUGUCGAUUCCAUAAUUCGUAACAUCAUCUAAUUCUACCUCUCCAUAUUUUUGGAUAUUUUGGCCAACGUCUUUUCGAUCACCAGUAUCUUACUAAUCUCUUUCUUAAUGUCUUGUAUUUCCUGGUCAAACGUCUCCAUCUCUUCGAUCCGAGUCUGAACCAUUUGCAUUCUUCUUGCCCGAGAUCAAUGCUCUGAUACCAAUUUGAUGGAAACCAGUCUUGGAAUGAAAUUGCUACUAUAUUAUUAAUGAUAGAAUAGGAAUGAAAUCCUAAUUACAAUAUGAAAUCCCUCUCCUGUUAUCCUCUCUCUCAAGGAAGAAUAGAAAUUCACUUUCUCAAACAAAACCUAACUUUCCCGCCCACGAUUACUUUUUAUUUAUACUAACAAUAAGGUAACUAACCCUUCCCUUUACUAACCCUCACAUGCUAUUCAUGUGCACGUGAUAUUUUUUUUUAAUUUCUUUGUCCCUCUUCCGCUGUACAGAUGUAAUAUAGGGGGUCUAUCAGAUUCCUCCUCUUUUCAAAGCCUCCAAUCAAACUCAAUGCUAAGUUUGACUGCUCCCUUCAGAGUGACGACCCUCAUUUUCCCCCUUCCGUGGUUUGGGGAGGAUUCCUCCUUUUUUAAAGCCCUCAAUCAAACUUGAUGCUAUGUUUAGAACGCUAAGAAUAGGUGGUCUAGUUUUGGUUAGGCCAAAAGUGAAAUUUCCCCCAAAAGCACUAAUAGUUAGGGAACUCAACACAUUCUACUUGACUUAAUCGACUUGACUCUCUAAUUUUUAUGAGCUUUUUUCAAUGCAUAUUGCAUAUGUUUUUUUUAUAGUUGUUGAUUGUCUCACAUUUUUAUGGUUUGCAUUUACAAGCCUCUUUUUUCUUUCUUUGGUAUGAAAUAUGGUAAUAGGCCUUGCUAGAACGGUGGGGUAAUCUCUCUAUGGUUCUACACUUAGUUUCAAAGUUUGAUUACUCCCUUCGAAGUGACAACAAGCCUCGUUUUCCCCUAUUGUGGAUCAGAGAGGAUUCCUCCUCUUUUCAAAGCCCUCAAUCAAACUCAAUGCUAAGUUUAACUGCUCCCUUCGAAGUGACAACAAGCCUCGUUUUCCCCUAUUGUGGAUCAGAGAGGAUUCCUCCUCUUUUCAAAGCCCUCAAUCAAACUCAAUUAGAGUAAAAAGGAAAAAUUUUCAUCUCGGGCGCGUGUACCUCACACGCGUCUCUCUAGGAUUUCCAAGUUCUCUCACUCGCUGGUGAAGGAGGCGAACGCUGGUGAGUGCUGCGGUCAGCAAGGGAUCAAAUUCGAAGGUAAUUCGUUCGGUUUUGGCAGAUUGAAUGUGAAAACUAAUGUCAUUUGGUAUCCAUUUUGAAAUUGAUUACAAUUGAUCAAUUGAACCAUUACGAAUGAUAUUCUUUUGAUUCGGGAGAAUUAACGUCUGUCAGAAAUUGUUUAAAUCGUUUCCAAGCUGAAUUGAUUUGAACUAUCUUGAAAGUAUUGCGUGUGGUACGAAUCGAUUUAUUGGCUAUCAGUUCUGGUUUGAAGACCGUGAUUUAAUUCACUCGCUGAGGGAUCUCGCAUGAAUCUCCUCGGUUGAAUUUCAAUUCUUUUUGAGUUCAUUCGUGUUCCCAGAUUGGGCCGAAAAGAUCAUCACGGGUGUUGGGUUGAUGUCCUAAGCAUGAAACGAUGAAGAAAUUAUCCAGUGACGUUGAGGAGGUGAAGAAACGUUGAUGUCAAGCCUUCAACGCGUACAUGAUAUGGCGGCGAACGACCGAAGGGCGGCGACUGCAAAGGCUGACCUAAUUUCUGUGAGGAAGAAACGGUCGGACAUGAGUGGACCCGAACCGGUUUACGUGAACCGUGAAACAUAUAAAAACUGAAAUACAGGAAAUGGACCGAGCGAGAUGGUCCCAUGAAGAUUGUUGGCCCAAAGGCGUGUGGGCCGAUUGUUUUGAAUGAAAACUUGAUGAAGCCAGUGAGCCGGUAAAGGGGCUGAAGCCGAAUGGUGUGGACACAUUUACGAAUGGAAUUGGUCAUGGAUUCUGGUUGAUGGGCCAUCGUUGAAUGAUGGGCCGCCAUCUCACACGAAACUGGGAUCUCACAGAAGGAGUGCUUACCUGCUGGUGCUUCAAGUGUUCAGCAUGUUGGGCAAAUUGCAGCGAAGGAUAUGGACCUGGGCUGGAUGCUAUUGCAAGUGCCCCAAAGAUUGGGCCGGUUGAUGGGCAUUUGAAUGAUGGGCCAGCCAUUAGAGAACGUUUGGUACUAAUUCAAAUGGUGGGCCGCCUGUUCCGAUUCGUGGGCAUGAGGUGCAUAAAUCUAAUAAUUCUGGAGGUGCAGGCAAAAAUUCAUGGGCUUCCUUAUUUGGCUCAACAAGAGGUUUCUCUAUGACCUAUACACCUCUGACUACCGUGGGAGAGAAAAUUGUGGUGACCCCGUUUGAAGAAGUUAUUAGUCAAGGAGUUAGAGUGUGGGAGAACUCCCUCGUCAGCCAAUUAAUUGAUGCAAAAUUGUGUAUCUAGUCAUCUAUCGUCUUAUAGAGAAGAUUUGGGGUAGAAUUGAAAUGCCAACAAUUACUCUGAUGGAGAAUGGGCUCAUCUGCUUUCAAUUCAAACAUCUGAAGUCGAUAGAGUGGAUCUUAUCCCGUGGCCCAUGGCACCUUGGAGGCAAACCUAUGCUCCUCCGCAAAUGGACUCCAGGUAUAGUUCCUGAAUCCUUUGUCUUUGAUUCAGUUCCUGUUUGGAUAAAGUUAGGGAGGAUUCCGUUGGAGCUAUGGACGGAUGCUGGUUUGGCUGUGGUAGCGAGUGCAAUAGGAAAACCUCUUUCAGUUGAUCUUGCUACUAAAGAGAGGCGUCAUCUUUCUUAUGCCCGUAUAUGUGUGGAAUUGAAUGUGGACAGUAUUAUGCCUGCCGAAGUAACAGUCAACCUUAGAGGAGAGGAAUUUAUUGUAACUGUCACUUAUGAGUGGAAACCGAAAAAAUGUAACUUGUGUCGAUCUUUUUCCACUCGCAGAACACCUGCCCUAAGAAAAGAGGCAAUGAAGAUAGUAAAAAGGAAGCUGCAAGUAAAGAGGUUCCUGUUAAAGAGGUUGUUCCUACUAAAGAGGUGGUUCCAGAUUUGGGGAGUAUGGAGAUGUUGUGUUGGAAUCCUUCCAACACAUGGAAGAAGGAGAAAUUAUUACCCAUAAACUGCCUGAAAAGGUGGAGGUAAAUCGAAAGGAAUUUACCCCAGUUGACAGGAAAAAUAGGGGAAUGAUCUCUAUUCGGGACAGAGGGAAAAGGGCGGAAGUGAGUAUCACUAACUCCUUUAUCCACCUCCAUGGCCUUUAUCUAUAGUUGAUGGCUCCCCUCCUCCCUUACGAGUAGAUGACUCUUCUAUGGUCCUUUUGAGUACUAUAGGUGAUGUAAUUCCUAUGGGAGAGGCAACUCCCAUACGACCUCAUGGUUAGUUGGUGUAUGUGGAACGUGCAGGGCCUUGAUAGCCCUAUAAAGUGUAGAGCCGUGAAGGACUUCUUAGCCGUGUCUACGCUGGGUUUCUGUUGCAUCCUGAAGACUAGAGUUCGAGAGGAGAACUUUGUCUCGAUAUCUAGAAGAUUUGGUGAUUCGUGGGGGUUCAUUAGUAACUAUAGCAAUAGUGGAGUAGGUCAGAUGUGGAUUAUGUGGAAACGUAACAGAUUCGUGUUCAUGACUAACGAGGUUGUCGACCAGUUUAUUUCUUGUGUAAUAACAGAUUUGAUCUCUGGGGAGAAGGUAGAGGUUCUGUGUGUGUAUGCCUCUAAUAGUAAUAUCGAGAGACGUGUUUUAUGGAGGCGAAUGGCUGAGAUCUCUGCUGGUUGGAGAGGACGGUAGGCUAUGGUGAAUUUGGGUGAUUUUAACACCAUCAGACUCCACUCUGAAGCCUUCGGGGGUGCUCCGAACGUGGGGGAUAUGGAGGAGUUUGACAUGGCUAUUCGAGAGGCGGACCUUGUUGAACCUGUGGUCUAAGGGAACUGGUUUACUUGGACUAGUAAGAUACAUGGGUCGGGUUUGAAUGAAGAGACUUGAUCGUAUCCUAGUGAAUGAUGAGGGGCUUAGUACAUGGCCUAACAUGAGGGUUAACGUCCUCCCGUGGGGUAUUUCUGAUCAUUCUCCCAUACUUGUCUAUCCCAGUAAUCAGCGAAGCCAACAAGUGGUCUCUUUUCGUUUCUUUAAUCAUUGGGUUGAAGAAUCGUCCUUUAUGGAUGUUCUGUCCUCUGCUUGGACCAAAGAUACUAGAGUUUCUCCAAUUGUGAUUAUUGUGAGGAACUUAAGAAAUCUCAAGUCCAUUCUUCGCAGACAUUUUGGUAGGCAUAUCCGGACCAUCAGUGAGGAUGUUCGUCUUGCCAAUGAUACCAUGGAUCGAGCUCAAAGAGAGAUGAAGACGAACUCUCUAUCGGAGGAGGCGAUUAAUCACGCGAGCUUAGCCACGAUAAACUUUUGGAAAGUGGUUAGAGUGGAGGAAGCCGCUAUGCGCUAGAAGUCGCAAAUCAGAUGGUUGAAGCUAGAUGACCAGAAUACUGCCUUUUUUCAUCGAUCUGUUCGAUCAAGGCAGAGCAGCAAUGCUUUGAGAUCAGUUAUUGACAGAUGGAAAUCGUUGACUAACCAUGAUCAGGUGGCUCGGUGGUAGUGAAUUAUUUCAAAGAUAGUCUGGGUUCUCAUAAUAUUAGCUACAAAGAGCUCUCUACUAGUAUUGAGGAGAUUGUUCAGUUUAGAUGGACUGAGGAGUGUUUGUCAGGCCCUCCAGUCGCCUAUUGCAGGGAGGAAGUGAGACGUGUUCUGUUCUCCAUGGAUGGUGGAAAGGCUCGAGGCCCUGAUGGGUAUUCAGUUGGCUUCUUCAAAGGAGCUUGGACGGUGGUUGGAGAGGGUUUCUGUGAUGUCGUCUUACACUUCUUUGAGACCAAUUACUUCCCUCAAGGGUGAAUACGACUGCUAUUACACUUUAUUCCUAAAAGGAAUGGUGCUGAUCGAUUGGAGGAUUUCAAGCCUUAAUCUUGUUGCAGCGUUAUUUAUAAGUGCAUUUCAAGAAUAUUGGCAGAUAGGCUUCGUUGUGGGCUUCCUUCUUUUGUUAGUGGAAAUCAGCCAGCUUUCAUCCCUGGGAGAGUAUUAUUGACAAUAUCCUUCUUUGUUAGGAGCUUGUAGGGGCAUACCAUUUGCACAGAGGUAAACCUUGAUGCACUAUGAAGGUUGACCUCCAAAAAGCUUAUGAUUCUAUUAAUUAGGAUUUCCUCUUUGGCCUGCUAAUUGCCAUAGGUACGCCUUUAAGAUUUGUGGGUUGGGUUCGAGCGUGUGUGACCUCUCCGAUGUUCACCAUUAUAAUUAAUGGAUCGUUGGAAGGUUUUUUCCAUGGGAGGAAAGGACUUAGACAAGGUGACCCUUCAUCCCCGUUCUUAUUUGUGAUGGUCAUGGAUGUGCUUUCUCGCAUGUUGAACAGCCCACCUCAGAAUUUCAAUUCCACCAGUUUUGUGAGAAGGUCAGAUUAACUCAUCUUACUUUUGUAGAUGACCUGAUGAUCUUUUGUACUGCUGAUAAUCAUUCUAUGAGUUUCAUAAAAGAGACUAUUAAGAGGUUUGGUGAGCUUUCGGGACUAUUUGCUAAUCUUGCUAAAAGCUCAAUUUUUCUUGUUGGGGUUAAUAAUUCGAAAGCUUCUCCGCUUGCUGCUAACAUGGUUUUUCCAUUGGUCAUCUCCCUUUCGUUAUCUUGGGCUUCCUCUCCUCUCUGGAAGAUUGCAGAGCUAUGAUUGUGAUCCCCUUAUUCAGUGUAUUACCAAUCGUAUUCGGUCUUGGUCUGCUAGAGUGUUAUCUUUUGCAGGUAGACUUCAGCUUGUUCGCUCAGUCCUUAGGAACCUUCAGGUUUAUUGGGUUAGUGUGUUCAUGCUUCCUAUGAAAGUCCACAUAGACGUUGAUAAGAUCUUGAGGGCUUAUCUAUGGAGAGGUAAGGAGGAGGGAAGAGGUGGUGCUAAAGUUGCCUGGGAUGAGGUUUGUCUUCCUUUUGAUGAAGGAGGUCUUGAUAUUCGCAAUGGAUCUUCUUGGAAUAUAGCAGUGCGUGGGAGACUAUUCGUCCUCAUAGUAGUAGGGUUGGCUGGUCGGGUUUACUAUGGUGGGGGAAAUAUUCCUAAGCACUCCUUUUGCGCUUGUUGGCCAUCAGGGAUAGGUUGGGUACUAGAGAUAGGUUAAGUCGGUGGGAUAGGUCGAUUCCUUUAUCGUGUUUGCUUUGUGGAGGGAACUAUGAGUCUCGUGAUCAUUUGUUUUUUUCUUGUCAUUUUGGGUGGGAGAUUUGGUCGAGGAUCCUUUUGCUUAUGUCAUCUUCUCAUAGAAUCUGUUAUUGGGGGGUUGAGUUAUCUUGGAUUUAUAAUCUGUGAGGAGAAAACUGUGGCGCCUUCUCUGGUGUGCUACAAUUUAUUUCAUUUGGCAGGAGCGAAAUCAUCAUCUUCAUGGAGGUGCUAUUCGGGAGCCUAUGGUUGUAUUCCAGCUCAUUCGGUCGUGUAUUAAAGCGCGUGCUGCUUCUUGUUCGGAUGGUGUUCAUGGUUCUAUUUAAUGUUCUUUUCGUUUGCUUGUCCCGGCUGUGGGGUUUCUCUCUCUUUAUUAACUUUGUUGUCUUUCUCUCUUCUUUUUGUCCUUUUAAUGUUUGGAAAACUAGUUGGUUUCAUUGGUUUUAGUUCUUGUUCCCGAGAUGUGGGGUUGUUUUGGGUACUUAUGGGUUGUUUUGUCUAACUACUUGUUCUGUGAGUGUUGUUCGCUCCUUUGUCUUGACCUCAGGCUGUGAGGUCCACCUUGUUGUUGUAUAAUAUUAUCAUUACCUUUUCAAAAAAAAAAAAUCAAACUCAAUGCUAAGUUUGACUGCUCCCUUCGAAGUGACAACAAGCCUCGUUUCGCCCUACUGUGGAUCGAGGAGGAUUCCUCCUCUUUUCAAAGCCCUCAAUCAAACUUGACGUUAUGGACCGACUUGACUCUGUAUUUUUUAUAAGCUUUUUUUAAUGCAUAUUGCAUAUGUUUUUUUUUAUAAUUGUUGAUUGUCUCACUUUUUUAUGGUCUGCAUUUACGAGCCUCUUUUUUUUUGUUAUGAACUGCGGUAACUAGGCAUUGCUAGAACCGAUGGGGUAACAUUUCUAUGGUUCUACACUUAGUUUCUAAGUGUGAUUGCUCACCUCUAAUUUUCAAAACACUUAAUUUCUAAGCACAUACAAUGUUCACCUAGAAAAAAUGAAAAUUGUUGUAGUUAAGAUCAAAACUAAAUAGUUAUGAAAUAAGACAUAAGAGAUUUGAUUUUAACAACCUUCCCGUUGUACUUGGGAUCCACUUUGGCUUGUGCUGGAAAAUUGGUUUGGAGCUGAUCGUAAGCUUUCGGUUGCUCUUCUGUAACCUUUAGAUACUCUUCAAAACUAUAAGCUUUGCUUCCUGACGAAGAAUCUUCUACUAUUACAAUACAUAAGAAAAUUCUAUUUCAUAAACCCUGUAUCAUAAUUGAGGCUGAUAGAAUGAUUAUUCUAUAACCCUACCGAUAGUUUCAUUCUUAACAUUCAUAGACACGAUGCAUGAAAGCUAUCCAAUUCUAUUUCAUGUUCUCGAGAAUGCCUCGGUUUAACAAUAAUGUUAAUUUUUGUUUUCUAUUUUAAAAUAAUAACGCUGCUUACUAAUCUUUUUUUUUUUCCAUUUGGCAUUCUACUUUUUCUACUUAGCUUUCUUUCCUAGUGAUAACAAAUAACACGGGUGAUAAAAAACUUAAUCACUCACUUGUUUCAGCCACCGAAAGCCCUUCUGCUUUAGAAAUAGAAGAUGGGUUUGAGUAGGUAGAUUUACUUGCAUUGUAUGUGCUGUUCAUUGAACUCUCAAUUUCAUCGAGACCAAUUUCUCACUCAAACAUGGUCUUACAUUCUCUAGAAACGUCCUAUAAACAAAAAUGAAGAACAAAAAACUACAAUAAGGUCUAUGAAAAAGUUACAAAGGAAAAUCUCAAAAACUAAUAUGUAAGUCAUAACAACCUUAAGUCCUCUUAUCGUGGGUUAAAAUGCACGUAAGGUUUUUCCAAGAGUCCGAGCAACCAGCAUGUAAAUAAGUUAAGUCAACUAAAUUUGCUAUAAAUUUACUCGUAUUAACAUUAUCAUUGUUAUAGACUUGACAACUUCAAAUUUAUCAAUAUAAAAUAUGCUUUAACAAAACGUACCUUGAGGUUCCUCCAACCUUAUUAAAAAGCAAAUAAUCCAACAAUUUAACAAAUUUAUAGUGCAUAUUAUGUAUAUCAAUUGAUCACAACAAAAUAAGAUCGAACAAAUACCCAUGAGUAAUAUUUAACCACCAAAUGAAUAAUGAUGAAAACCUGAAAACAAAACCGAGAAAAAAAAGGAAACAAUUCAUCAACAAAACAAAUUUAGGGGACUAAAAAAUUGCUUACCUUAUUACACACUUCAAAAUAUUAAGAAAAGUGGAGGGAAAAAACCAACCAAUAAUCAACAAAUAAACUUCAACACAAAUAGCCAUAAAUUUUCUUCUUUAAAUGUAUCACAAAUAAGUCCAUCGGUAAUAACAAAAUAAAAAAGGGCAAUGUGCAAUUGAAUUCUGCCGUCGUAAAGCUAUGCUAAAGGCAGUAUGAAAUCAAACUUGAGCACUAACAAGAAAAUUUGCAAAACAAAAAUUACUAGACAUCAUUAACUAAAGUACCAGCACAAUAAUGAAUGUGUAACCUCCGCAAGAGCAAACCCGAAUGGAGAAGAAGAGAGGCCUCAAAGCUUCUUCCAAUUAACAUAAAAGAAGAAUGAAAGAGAAGGAGAGAAAGGGAAAGUGGUUCAAAAGCUAUGGAAAAAAUAGUAAAAGAAAAUGGUCUACUCAUUGGCACAUCUUACACAGAUGAUAAUGUUAGGGCAAGGCAAUGAGAGACAUAAUGCUUUUGGAGCCUUCUCCUCUACUUUCGAAGAUUUUAACAAACUAAAAUAUGCAAAUGUUACAAGAAAGAUCUUUGGAGAUUUGAAAUAAUCCAAAAUAAAGAAAAAAGAAAACCCCAAUAUGUACAAAUUUCAGAAUCUAAAACUUGAAAAGUGAUUGAAUGAUGAGAUAUGUUUGUAUAAUCAAUUAUAGAGACAGUGAAAUAUUAAAACAAAAAUGAAACGUACCAAUAUAAAAAGAAUAACAACUAGUAUUAUGACCUUUGUAUGUCUUCAAAUUACAAACAUCAAAAUGAAUCAAGAGAUCUACCACACAAAUAAUGGUAUCAACACAAAUAAAGCAAUUGCUUUAGUAACAAUAUUUGAGUACAAUUAAACUAAGCAUGCUAUUGUCCUUGACAAAUUUACAUUCUUCUAAUCGAACAAAAUCUGACCUUUAAAUAGUGAUAGAAACUGAAGAUGAAAGCAAGUUUAGCUACAACUUUAGACCGUGAUAUAUAUGACUGAACCUAUAAAAAAAAGAAAGUACCUAACUAUAUAUACACAGAGGAGAUCUGAUGCUUACUAGCACAUCAGAGGCUCAAUCGAUUUAUAUUUAAUUGAAAAACAAUCCCUAUAUUUUAAUGCAUACACAUUGAAUAGCCUCUGUUUCAAUCCAAUUUACAAAACUACCUCCAUAAAAUUACAUAAUGGGGAAGUUCGACCGGAUGCACUGUGCUUUACCAGAACCACAUGAAAUUAUUGGAACAUAGUUCAUUCAAUUAACUUUCUAUUCAAUAAUUGAAACAAAUGGAAAGAGGACAAUUGAAUAUUAAAUAAAGAUGGAAUUAAUUGGGAACUCACAGAGUAAUGCGAUUUGUUCGGGGCUCACCACUGGAGUUGGAAGAGAGACAAGGAUUAGAAAGGAAAGGAAGAGGAGCGUCUGAUAAUCCAGCUGAUUCUUUGACGAGUGGAGUACUAGUAGUAGUAGUGGAGGUUCCAAGGACAUUGAAGUCAAUCCGGUGAGAGUGGGGAAUCCAGAAGGUUGAGGUUGAAGAGAGUAGAAAUUGCAACCAAAAUCGGUGACGAUGGUGGAAUCGAAAUUGCAAGGGAAGAAGAAAAGAGCAUCACAGGUCGAAAUAGAGGAGGAAUCAACACUGGAGAAAGGAGGAAGAUGAGGAGAAACUGCCAUUAAUGGAAGAGGGAGGAAGUGAGAGAGAAAGGAGAGGGAAUUAAUUAAUUAAAGAGAAUUAGGGUUUGAGAAGAGAAAGGGAAAAUGGAGUGUACGAACAAAGCAGAAGAAGAAGAAAUGGAAAGGACGCGCUAAGAGAAGAAGAUGGAUCAGUGAAAUGGGUAUGAUAGGGUUUCUUCCUUAAAGAAACGGAAAUUGAGAGAUAGGCCUUAGGGUUUCGAAAAGAGAAAGGAAAAAUGGAGUGUACGAAGAAAUGGAAAGGACGUGCUAAAAGAAGAAGAUGGAGAUUGGAUCCGCGACUUAGAGAAGAAGAUGGAGAUGGAUUCGCGAAAUGGGUAUGAUAGGGUUUCUUCCUUACAGAAACGGAAAUUGAGAGAUAGGCCAAAGAAGACAAGAGAGCAAGAGAGAAGGGGGAGGAGAGGAAGGAGAGGGAGGGGAGAGACUUGGCCGUUAGAGAAGAGGAGAAAGAAAUUUUAAAUGAGAGAGACUGUACAUGUAGGGUUUUUAUUAGAAUUUUUUUUUUUGAAAUCUUGCUUAAUUGGAUUUAGAGAAUGUGUAUUCGGUUCACCGACUCGUAUUAGCUGUCCAUUGGUCCAUUGUUUUGUCAUUUUUUUUUCAACAAACUAAAUGUUUUAAGCCAUUUACAAAUUAGAUUUCGGUAAAUCGAUAAUCAUAUUUUUUUACAAUAUAGGACUAAAAAAGAUAACUAAUUUAUAUAUAUAUAUAUAUACAUACAACAGUAUUUAGUUAAAUUACAAAAAAAAAAAAUCUUUUGAAUUUUGUAGUUUGUGUAAAAAAAUAACCUUAAACUUUGAAAUGUUAAAAAAAAUUGUUUUGAACUUUUAAAAAUUAUUCAUAAAUACAUCUACAUACGUAGGAUGAAGGUAUUGGCAUGCUUCUCUAUAAAAACUUUCCAAAAAGAUGUUGUGUGACUUUUGAAAAGAAAAAUUACAAAUGGGUCGUUUUUAAACAAAUUAGAUAUAUCAAGUUAUAUUUCUUUAAUUUUUUUCCUUUUUUCACAUAUUAUCAAUCACAUCUUACUUUUUUCUUUUUUCUUUGGAACCCUGCAAAAAUAACAAAAACAUUUAUAAUCACAUGACUCAUGUCACUACAUUUUCUAAAUUUUAAAAGUAGUAAAUUUAAAAGUUGAUAACCCUAUGAUUAUCGUUUGAUAGUCAUCUAAUAUCACUAAUUUUGUCAUAUUCGUAAUAUCCAAAUAAGGUUUCUUGGUGUCUAGAGUCGAACGUGAGGACUUAUACUAAAGAUAUAUUUAUAUUUUGAAAUGAUCUUAAGGUGAUUAAUAACAUACGCCUAAGAACAAUAGCGGUAUCAUCUACUUGUAAGGGGGGAGAGAGUCAUCCACUAUAGAUAAGGUCCAUUUGUCUCCCUCACCCAACUUCAUAAGGCUGCCAAAAGAGUUAGGCAUAUCACAUCCACACAUUUACCCUUCUCUCGAACAUAAACGAACUCUCUUUUCUUCCUAAUAACGAGUAAUUUCAUUCCGAGAAUAAUGACAUGUCCUAUACCUGUGUUGAACAACUUUUAAUUCCCUAAGAUAAGGAGAUUUAUCUGAAGGUUCGAAAAUAAUGACAUGUCCUAAACUAACCCACCAUUUCGCAACAGUGAACCAGUUUGAUCGUUAGGGGACAACUUUUGAUAAUAAGCGCACAACCAUGCCCCAAUUUCAAUGUUGCCCAAAAGUAAAGGCCUUUCUUCACAAUGCUCCAUAAAAAAAAGUUCGACUUUCACAUAAGGAUCUUAUUUCUUUUUUAUUGCUCCAAGAGAUCUAAUAGAUCUAUUUUCACCAUGCAAAUCCCUUUUGUUAUCAUGGAAAAUGUGUUGGUUGUGCUGAAACCAAAUCUCUGCUAGCAACACUUUUAUCAAAUUAACCCAUAUUUUUUUAAAAAAAAAAGAGGAUAUGAGUCUCACUAUUAUUAAUAUUGAAAAAUGAAGAGACAAAGCUCAAUGUCAUGAGGAUUAUACAAAGAGCAAUAGGAUGGAGGAUCAACAGACGCACUUGGACAUCUCAACUAGGUUGACACCCCCUUAGCGCCCUCAUCACAUCCAAAAAGCGACAACACAAGAUCAAAACAAAAGCCACAAAUAGAAGGCUUUUUUGUGUUUUUUGCCUUUGGACAUUAUCCUUUGUUAUGGGUUUUAGCUUGGUUGGAUAUGAUGAGGGUGCUAUGGGGGUCAACCUAGUUGAGAUGCCAAGGGCACCCCCUGAUCCAUGUUACAUGUCAUUGUAUAACUCUCUUGUACUAUGAGCUUUUGUCUAAUUAUUAUUAUUAUUUUAAUAUUAAUAAAGAGGUUGUCUCCUUUAAAAAAAAAAAACAAAAAAAAAAAAAAAAAAAAAAAAACAAAAGCCACAAAUAUAAAACCAAAAAAAUGAUAAAAUAAUGUCUAAAACAAAAUCAUAAAUCAUAGUAGCAGGUCGAGAACAAAGAAAAUAACCUUGAUUGAGCAAAAAUCCCAACAAAUAUUGAAUGUUUGGAGAAGACAGAACCAACAUUUCGAUACAAAGACAUAGUCAAUUAAAAGGUGCUAAAUAUUUUUCAUGUUAUCAACACAAAUGGGGCAGACAUGAGGUGAGAGGACAUGGAGGAAGUUUUCUUUGAAGUACUAAAGCACAGUUUAAUUUUCCAACAACGUAAUCCAUAUGGGGAUAUUUAUCCAAAGAGUGAGCUAAAUAGCCCAAUGAGUGAUUGUUUUAUAAAACAUCGUUUUGAAAUAAUAAGUAUUUAACAAAUAACUCUUAACAUAAAUGAAAUCAAACUCAAACAACUUAUCUCAAACUUUCCUUUCAGUUGCUAUACCUAGAAUCGUCGAGACGAAAAACAAUAAACUAGGCAUAGAAGCCCUAUCCCGUGAUACGAUACUUACAGAUGAAAUUCUAGGCAUCAAUUGUGCCCUAUCUCGUUAUAACUACAAUGAGAUGGAAAACUAGGCAUUCGUACAGGCUCUCAUCCCUUGAGAUGGGAACUAAGCAUCUUUAGAAGUCUUCAUCUCUUAUCUAAUACCAAUGAUGGAAAGCUAGGUAUUAAUUGAAUAUCCAAAUCAAAUGACCUUUAUGCACAAGAAAAUCUCUCCCGAAGGUUGCUAUAUAUCUUAGAAUAUUUUAGGUAUAGACUAAAACAUGCUAAUAUUAUUCAAGCUUAAACAUUCUGAAAACUUAGCACAAUCAUGAUUGCUUAUAAUUUUCAUUAGUAAAUUCAUGAAUAAAAACAUGUUUAUCAAAAUGUUUCUAAAUUCAUGCUUUGGAAAUACUUUAUAAGUCAGUAUCCUCAAAUAUUCAAACAUCAAAGCAUGCUUGAAACAUUUGAUAGUAAAUUCAUGUUUAGAACUCAACUUUAAUCUCAUUUUUGUCACUUAUAGAGAGUAGCUUGGACCUUGGCUUAUAAACUUGUUCGAUCUCCUUCAGAUCUAAAAUAAUGAAAAAUAAUGGGAAAUAAUUCCAUUUAAUUCUCGUUGACAUAUAAAAUAUCAAAACUUUGCUUAAAAUUUCCAAAAAACCACAAAAAUAGCCAAAGACAUUAGCUUGCGUACAAAAUAUUGUGGCAGAAGUUGCAGGCGCGCGUAGGCUUGCCUUGCCAUGUCUCGUUCUAACCUCAUGUUCAGCAUGUCACAAUCACAACUUUUCAAACACGGAACAGACUAUUGUGCGCACUUGUUGUAACUCGAUGAACACGUCAGUUGUAUGAAAUUCGAUACGGUGUAGCCUCCCUACAAGUUUUAAGAGAAAUUGGUUUUAUUAAACAUGAGAGAGAAAGGAAAGCAUUGGAAACAUCGUUAAAAAAUUUUUGAAGACUGUCCAUUGCAAAGAGAGCUUAAAUUGCAAAGAGUGCCUCUAUGAUGAGAUUGGUUUGUGGAACCAAUUGGAUGAGAAAAGUUUAGAGAUAUUUGAGAGAAACUCUUUUCUUUUGCAAAGAGCAAUAGCGUUAGCCUUAAUUUUUUUCGUUUUUUAUUAAUUCAUUUUUUUAAGAAAAUUGUUUCCUUCUAGAUAUUAUAACUCUCUUUCCUUCUAGGAAUAGAAAAUGAAGUAGAAGAGAACCAUGAGAUUCUAUUAAUUUACAAAUAAUUAAAUUAAUAUAUAUUUCAAAUCUAUUGAUUAAUUAAACAUUAAUCAAUUAGUUAAUAAUUAAUGAAAUCGAAUUUAAUUAAAUAAUAUUAAACUAAACCUUUAAUUAAUUCUCCAAUUAACUAAUAACACUAAAUUAUUUAUAUUAUAUUUAACUUAAAUUAAAUUUGAAUCAUAUUCAAAUAUAAGUUUCUUUCAAUAAUUUUAAUAUGAAUCCAAUUCAUAUUAAAUUAAUAUUUGAACUCAUUGAAAUAUUUUAUCUCUUAUAAAUUAAUUUGAAUCAUCCCCAAAGUUAAAUUUAUAUAGUAAAGAGAUAAACUUUAUAUUAUAAUGUAUCACUAUACAUUAUACUAAAUCCCAAGUUAAAUUUAAACAUUUUAAAUUACAACCAAUAUAAAUAAAUCUCAUUACACUUUACAAGCUAGGAAAGGGACCUAAUGGACCUACAGAUCAGAAGCUACAACGAUCUAAGAUUAAUUGGCUAAACUCAUUAACCACAUUAAUCAAUAUUUGUUAGUUGUGUGUACACUCCACUAAAGACUCACAACUAAACUCUUCUCACUAAAAAUAUAUUUCUGUGUCCACCGAUAUAGACCAAUAAUAGUAAGUUAGUCCUUCACGAGUGUUUGUAACACCAGUUGGAUCAACUUACCGCUUUACCCCUAUGUUACCUCUAAUCCUUAAAAACCAGUGCUCCUCUAAUGAACAACUUGUUUAUGGUCCUACUAAUAAACAAAAACCCCUCUCAUGUCAUAGAGAGGGUACGAGCCCUUUGUUCAAGUUUUGGACACACAUUUAAGCUAACAUUCAUCUACUUACCCUAAAGUAGGAAAUGAGUGAAUUCCAUUUUGUGCAAUUAUAAUCCCAACUCCCCACUCAGUCUUGUCCCCAAAUCACUACUACAAAAACAAGCUCUCUUGACGGUUGUAGUUUUCCUUUCUUGACGUUUAUUAAACGUAAAGUAAGAUGUAUUUGUAACGAUCCAACUUUUCUAAGUAAGUCGAGAUCGUUAAUUUUUAACAAAUAAAAGACUUUGAUUAAUAUAAAACAAAACGUAAGCAAAUUUAAAAAAAAAAACAUCUUCAAGUCAGGCCUUAUUUUUAAACAGCAAAUUUAAAAAAAAAAAAAUCUUCAAGUCAGGCCUGAUUUUUAAACAGCAAAUUUAAAAAAAAACAUCUUCAAGUCAGGUCUGAUUUUUAAACAUUCAAGAAAACAUAAAAUAAUACUAAUUACAACAAACGUUUGUAAACUAAAUUUUAAUUCAUUUUAAACCUCACAAGUGUGGGUCGGUCAGCGGUCGGCUAAAGAAGACGUGGCCGGAGAAUCGCCGGCAGUGCAGCGGUUGGAACGAAGGUUGCGCGCGGCUGGCUUCACGAACCGACCGACGGUUACGAGCGGUGGAUCUGGGUUACUGCGAACUACCAGGGUGAAGCACGAGCGGCGGCGGUUGUGAUGUAGAUCUGGACGACGGUUGUGAGCGAAGGUCACGCGGCAGUUACAGGUGGAUGGCGCGGCAGUUUUCGAUCCGAAGGAGAAAAGAGAGGGUGGCGGUUGGGUUCGGCGAGCGGCGGCGGUUUUGUUUCGCGAACGGAGAUGGAGACAGCAGAUCGACCGUUCGGCUUCAGUAGGGAAGACGACGGUUUGCGCGGGGCUGCGGACAGAAGAAGAAAUGGAAGGAAAGAGAUCGGCGGCUGCUGCGGCUGGGCUGCGGCUGGGCACGAACGGAAGGAGAUGAGGAAUGGAGACGGCCGGUGGCUGCUGCGAUCAGAAAGAGAAGAGGAGAAGGGGGUCGCGCGGCGCACGGGAGGAGAAGAGAAAUAGGAAGAAGAAAAGAAAAAGGAAAAAAAAAAAAGAAGGAAAAAGAAAAACAAAAUAUAUAUAUUUCUUUUUUUUCUUUUUAUUUAAAUUAAAUAUAAAUAAAUAAAUAUAUAUAUAUAUAUAUAAUAAAAACAAAAUAUAUAUAUAUAUAUACCUUUGGGGCAUUACAGUAUUUUUUCUUGACGUUUUUUAAACAUAAAGAAAUAUCUAAUAAUUUUUUGACGUUUAAAAAACGUCAAGAAUGUUUAUGAAUUCAACAUUCUUGACGUUUUUUAAACGUCAAUAAUAUAUAGUUUUCCUCGACAUUUAAAAACGUCAAGAAAUUUAUAAAAAAUUCUUAACGUUUUUAAUAUGUCGAGAUAAUUCUAAAAAGUUCUUGACAUUUUUAAAACGUCAAGAAAUUUAUAAAAAAUUCUUCACGUUUUUAAAACGUCAAGAUAAUUCUAAAAAAUCAUUGAUGUUUUUAAAAACUUCAAGAAAUUUUAAUUUGUUUUUGACGUUUUAAAAAUGUCAAGAAUUUUCUAAAAAAUUAUUGUGUUAAUAUUCUUUUACAAAACGCAACAUUUCAAUUAGAUCACUUCCCCUUUUCUUAAUUAAACCUAAUUUGCCGCGACUUUGUCCCUUCUCCACCCGAAAUCAAAAGCGUCGUUCACCUAACCUUCCCUCGCGUUCAUCUGUGCAUUCAUCUGCGUUCAUCGUCCAUCACCGUUCGUCUGCUUUGCGUCUGUCUGUUCACCGUUUGAAAUGCGUAAACACAUUCUCUGUUCGAAAACGAGUAAACACGUUCACCGUCCUUCUGUCGCAUUCCACUUUCACUAAACCUCUAUUCGUUUCCAAAUCCUUCAUGGUUACUCAUUCAUUUUUUCCCUUUCUAAAGGUAAUAAUUUUCCUUUUUUCCUUUGUGAUUAAAAUUUGUAAUUUGUAAUUUAAAAUUGGAAUGCAAAAUUAAAGAAGAGAAAUAUGCCUUAGAGAAUGGAAGAAAGGUUUUGCAUUUUAGGCUUGAAAAGGGGGAUACAAGUUAUUAUAAUUGUAAUAUAUAAUAUUUUGAACAAGGCUACCAAGCGUGCGAAUAUGAUUCAUUGGUUAGUUUAGGGAUUGGAAAGAGAAGGAUUGUGGAGUUUGUGAUAAUAUUUUGGUACACUGGAGCUGGAAACAGAGAAUAUUAAAAAACACAUACUGUUAUACACAGUAUUAUAAUAAUACGAAUCACUAGCUUUUCUUUUCUUUUCUUCUUGAAUUUUUGUUAUGGGUAUUGUAUUGAGUUUUGUGUUUUAGAUUGUGAAGUAUGGGGUAGCUAAACUCUUAAUCCUAGGGAUAGAUGUAGACAAAGUUUAUGAAUUAUUCUUUGUAAUGCAUCUGAUUAUUUGCUCUUAAUCUUUUCAUGUUUUUAUGUGAAUAACGUUCAUAAUAUCUUAAUCACAGAUUAAUUGUUGAUUGGCCAUGAACCUUAAUCUUUGCAUGACUAGAGUGGUUAUGAACUUGGAAAGAGAUAAUUAAGGAUCCUUGAGGAGGUUGUUGAAAGAAGUGGACCUAAAAACUUUUGUUUGUUAAUAAAAAGAAAAAUGAACAGAGAUUCAUCUUCGUCAGGGGUCUUGAUGUUUAAUUUAAUUUAAAUUGUGUAUGAAUUUUUAAUUACGAGAAUUUUAAUAUGUUGCAAGAGCACUAUAGCCAAGGUAUAGAGUGAGGGAGAUAAGGUUUAUAUGUCUUAGAGAAUGGAAAGAUGGAAUUUGUGCUAAAAUCAUUAGUGUUCCAAAUACAAUUAUGAAUUGGUAUAGUUGCAUUCCCCCUUCUGGAUUGCAUAGCACAUAAAUAUACUCUCAUGGAUUGCAUAGCACAUAAAUAUACUGUAAAAACAAUAACAUAAAACACAAACUUGAUUUAGUUUCAUUCACACUUGUACACCAACAUGUUUCAAUAAUGAUCAUAUAUUAAAAAUCAUUUUCAAAUUUGGUAAUAUAAAAUGGAAGAAGUGAGACCUUGAGGUUUUGACCACCAAUACUAUCUAACUGAUGAGUUUAUGAUUUUUGUUUCUACUGUGUUCUUUCCUUAAGCUUUAACUUGUUUUAGGGGCAAGAUGGUGAAGGUCUAGUCCACAACCUUUCCCAAGAAUUUAAUGAUGUUUGGGUUGACCCAAUUAUUGUUAUUGGACACCGUUUUAUGGUAAUUGGUUGUUAUGGUUUUUAAGUGUGUUUUGAUAUCUUGUGUUAAAAAAUAAUUGCAAAAAGUCGGAAAAGUUUGUUAAAGAUUAGGUGUUUUUAAGUUUGUCAUUCCACUUUAAUUCUCACCAGUACUUGCUGAAUGGAAGCCUCUUGUCUAAGACAAUUCGAGUGGAAUAACUCUCGUGACUACCACAACAUUUGGGAACUCACCAAAUGUAAGACUAUUCCUUUAUCCUAGCAUUUGAUCUCUCUCUAUAAUUUGGUUUGCUAUCGUAAGUUUGAUUAAAAUAAAUGCUGAUAAUUCAACUCCAAUGUUCUUAUUUUCUUAACUCCAUUCAGUCAGUUAGAAUCAAACUCAUUUAUUUAUCUUGUCUCCAUAAUUUGGAUUCAAAGAUUCAUCACAAUAAUCUUCUCAACAACAUUCUUGAAAAGGUAUUGAAUUUUCAACUGUGUGACCUUUAUACACAAAUUUCUUCAAAGAAAUUUACAUUCUUUAGAGUUUAGAGCUUUGAAUUCUAGUACAACUUAUAAAGCUUUUGAUACUUGUUAGACUUUUUUGCUUGGUGCGGAUAAAACCUUAUUUACAUUCUUUCUUUCCUGCAUGUUCUCUUUUGAUAUUUGUUAGACUUUUUUGCUUGUUGUCCUUAGUGUUUUCCUCUUUAGCUGAAAUUUCUCUAUCUUGAAAAAAAUAGAGCUUUAAAAUUCAACUUUAACUUUAUUUGAUACUAUCUUAGUCCAUACUUAUUUUGGUAUUUCUUUCCUUUCUCACAAACACAUCUAAGAGGUUGCCUUCACAAUAUGGCAACCUUUUUCAUUGCAAAACAUAUUAGAGGUUGGUUACUUAGUUAGCCUUAUUGGGUAAAUAAUUGACAUUUAGGUACUUUUUAGUUUGUAUAUUUAUAGAUGCCAAAUCGAUAUGUGAAUUUUAAUUGUUGCUUAUUUGAAACAUUGCAACCAUUUGAUAAAAUGUUGCUAUGUGAAUCCAUCUUAACUUGAUAUAUUAUUUUAUUUUGGUUUAGGUUGUGGAAUCCAAGUUUGUAUUUGAAGUCAAAUUCAUCCAAGAUCAUUGAGUUUCAAAGCUUCUUUAAUUAAGAUUUUGUUUCUUGAACUAGAAUUGUAGUCUUGUGAUUUUUGGAAUAGCAUAGUUGGAUUGGUUUUGUAAUUUUGGGAUUAUCAUAUUAGGUUGGGGUUGACUGAAGUAGUGUUUUGUAUAUGACAAUAUCGAACAAACAUGUAAAGUUUUCGAAAUGUUCAUACAUAUAUGAUUAAAUGUUAAUAUAUGUUAAAGUUUUGGAAUUGUACUCGUGCAUAUUUAUGAGAUUGUUGGGCCACACUACAGGAAUUAUAGAGACAAUACAGGAAAAAAAUAUAAAUAAAUUAUAAUUUAGAAAAAAAAUGAAACAAGCUUGACGUUUUUUAAAUGUCAUAAACAAAUACAUUCUUGACGGUUUUUCAAUGUCAUUAACAAGUAAAUUCUUGACGUUUUUUAAACGUCAUAAACAAUUGUGUUCUUGACCGUUUUUAAAUGUCAUAAAUUACAUUCUUGAUAGUUUUUAAAUGUCAUGAAUACUCAUUCACUUGACGAUUUUUAACUGUCAUGAAUAUUUGUAUACUUGACGUUUAUAAACUGUUAAGAAUCGCUAUUCUUGACGUUUUAUUAACCGUCAAGAACUUUGACUUUCUUGACGCUGGCUUCAAUGACGGUUUUAAAACCGUCAAGAAUAGUGAUUCUUGACAGUUUAAAAACGUCAAGAGAGUCUGUUUUUGUAGUAGUGAAUGAUAAGCUUAUUGAGUCGGCGAUCUAGCCACUCUCACUCGUACAAAUCAAAGGACAAUCUCUCGCGAACAAGAGUUCAUAAUACACUCAAGAUUAAGACUAAGUUAUAUAGGUCAUCCUAGUGAAAUAGAAACCUAACUAGUUAAUGUAGUAACACCAAGUGGUUACUAUUUCACGGUCUGGUCUAUUGCAAUCUCAUUGCAUAGGAUACCUUCACUCGCAUGUCAACUACAUGAACAUUGGAUCAUUGUAUUUGUAUCAAAUACAAAGUGAGUCGUAUUCAUAAUGUUACCAGGAUAAAGGUACCCAGUCUUAUCCCUAUACUAUAGACCCUUUAAGCUAAUCUCGAACAUUGAUCCAUGUAUGUCUCUACAUACUAUUCAAUACUUAUUAAACAGUUUAGGAUGUUAGUUUAUUGGAUUUGAGUUAUUAAGACAAAACUAAUAAUAUAAUCAAUAACAAUUAUUACAAUAAUAACACUUUAUUAACAAUGGUCAAUGGAUUAUAUUUACAAUCUACGAGUUUUAGGACAUAAAUUCCAACAAACUCCCACUUGGACUAAAACUCUAGUCUCUUUGGGAUGUUCAUAAUAAAGUAAUCCUCUAACAUUGAAAAUGGUAAAAUGUACAAGUGUAUUACAUAAAAUGUGUAUAUACAAAUACAAUAAACUAGGGCAUCCUCAUACCCAUUACACAUCUGCCACUUUUCCUAGAUUACCUAAUGUACAUAACUCGCAGAUCUAGACUUUCUAGAAGACCCUCGAACACUUUAGCCAUGAGAGUCUUUGUAAAUGGAUUAGUAAUAUGCCCCACUAUUAUCACAAUAUAAAGUGAUGGGGCAUGUUCAUGUUUGGAACAACUUCCAAAUUAUGCAAGAACUUCCUCAGCAAAACUGCUUCUUUUGCUGCUUCACAAGUAACAAUAUACUCAACUUUCAUAAUAGAGUGUGUAAUGACGCGUGGCUCAGGCUGCUUGAUCAUGCCAGGACAUGCUUCUUGCAUGUCCCAAGCCUAAAUAACCUCUUUCGCUCAAAACACACGCUCAUCUCACCUUGUCAUCCUGGCAAUCAACCCACCCUUGGCCUUGCCUAGAAAUAUGAUUUUUCUACCAGAAACUUAACUCGACUUUGAAGCUUAAAUCAAUAAGAUUCCUUCUACAAACUUACUUAGAAUGUCUUCACUAGCUUACCACAAAGUGUCACUAACAAAUUCCAAAAAUCCAAAAUACUCUACAUUGUUCAAGUUUUUUUUUUUUUUUUUGAAAAUGACCUUUGAGUCUUUCUUCACUUCAAUGCCUUUCUUCCUGGUAGCCUUUCUCCUGAUACUACACUCAAUUUAGGAGAUUUUCGAAGUAGAGUUACCCAAUUAACACAAGUUGCUUGUUAACAUAAUUCGUCCAAAGUUGUACAUAUAGUGAUCCUUGCAUGCUCUUUGGUUGACACUUUUAUUCUCACCUCUUACGCCCAUACUUGCACUUUCCACCUCAUGCAAGACACUUAUUUGGCAAAACUUAGGUAUCUUGUAUGUUGUCCACUUGUACUCUACCGCACAUCUUACCUCAUAUUGCUUAAGUCAUCCUUGGAUGCAUAUCCCUUUUUCUAUGAGGGUUCUUUAGUAAAUUCUUACUGCCAAGAAUGCCUAAGACUUUUUUUUCUCGCCUAAUCUCCCAAACAUCCCUCAAUGCCUUCAACAAACCAUGCCAUCUUGACUAGCAUUUGGUUGAAUUGCCCCAUUGGCCGCAUGGCCUAUGUCCACAUAGCCCACCUCUUUGUUGCAUGACAUUCCUUAUCCACGUUCUAACUUCUUUAGAGUUUCUUGACAUUUCCUAGAUGCUUAGCUUCCUUGCCUAGCGCAUACCCUUGGUCAUAUAGCCUUGUCUUAUAGAGGUUGUCUUGACACCUUUCGGCAUACCACAUCUCAACCUUUGGCCACCCAACAUGUCUCUUUAGAGGUUCGCUUGACACUUUUGGCCGCCUAGAGUAUGCAAUGCCCUAGCCACAACUUAGCAAUUUGAACACCCUUUAGGCUUUUUGUUACGAUGACACUUUUCUUUUGUCAUCUUAAAAAGAUUAACACAUCUUCCAUAACACUUCAACUAAACUAUCCAAUCUUAAACCAUCUUUCUCCUAACAUCAACCCCUAAUGUCCUAUUGAGUUCUUUAAGAUGAAUUAAGGAUUAUUGGUAUCGGGGUUUACACGCAAUGUAAGUCUUCCUCCUUUGGAAUUACGUAUAGUAGUGUGCGGAGGGAGAGGAAUGUGAUGUAGGUCUUCCUCCUCAACCAUAAAAUUCUUCUUCGCUAACAAUGCCCUUUUGAUCGGGUAAGGGCUUGUUCGGUCAGGUCGUGAGGUGAAGGAUGUUGUUAUAAUGAUGUGGGAUUUGGUGGUGAGAGGAUAAUAGACAUGCGAGAGACUUGGGUAAGAUUGAUGAGGGAGUUUCAAUUUUUGGAUGAGGACUGGAAUUGAAGGAUUUGGAUUUUGGAGGAGGCGAUGAGAGAGUUAGGGGUCGGAUUGCAAGAGGUUUAGGGUCGAAUGGCCACGUCUAGCUUUCGUCUUUUUCCUUUUUAUACGAGUUAGACGCGUCAUCGUGGACCUUUCUCCUCUUGAGCAGUUGGUCAGCGGAGAAGCCUCUUCUUCUUCUCUGCCAUUCCAUUCUUCUCCCUUAACUUUAUUAAAGGUUUUGAGGUGUCUCUCUUCUUCUUUAUUUUGAUGGAGUGUUAUGGUUUGGUUGAGAUUCGCCUGAGAACAUGCAUAAGGGGUGAUUGAGAAAAGCUAAAAGCUUAGGAACCGUCGGAGGAAGGGCAGAUCAUUAAUUGUAUGUUACGCCUUCCUCUGACGUGGUGGCAGCAACGUUGAGAAUAGAUUUAGGGAUUCCCGACGUAUCAUUAAUCGCGUGGGAAUAUGUUUAGGGAUUUCUGACGUUUAACAAAUCAGGUCAAGAAUAGGGUGCUAUUCCCGACGUUUUCGUUGUGCGUCAGGAGUUCUCUGUCUUUUUUAACUCCAUUCUUUACAUAAAAAAAACAUAAAGAGAAAGAAAAUGAGAGAGGGAGAGGGAGACCGAGAGGAAGAUUGAGAAGAAGAGGGCAUUGUCAUCUCCAUUGCCGUCCCUGUUGUCGUCCUGUCGUCGUCGCCAUCGGUAAGUGGUUUAGUUUAGAUAUUUUUGUUUUAGUUAAUUAGUUUUAGUAUUUAGAUUUCAAAUUUGUUUUAGGUGUUAGAUUUUAGAUUUCAAAUUAGUUUUAGUAUUUAGAUUUUGAAUUAGUUGUAAGUUUUAGUAUUGAAAUUUAAUUUCAAGUGUUGUUAGAAUUUUAAAUUAGUUGUAGGUUUUAGAAAUUUGAAUUUGAAGUGUUGAAGUUGAGAUUGAAGUGUUAAAGUUGAGGUUGAAGUGUUGAAGUUGAGUUUGAAUUUAAAAUUUUCAAUUUGAAUUUAGGAAUUAAUUGAAGUUAUUUUUUUUAAAAAAAAUAGAGGAUCUCCCGACGCAUGGUUCCUAGACAUCUCUCGAUGCUAUAUUGACAACAUCUUCGACGUUCAUACAACGUCGGAAGAUGUCUAGAAACUCUCGACGCACAACAUUGUGCAUCGAGAGGAACUCCCGAUACAUUUUUCCUGACUUGUGUUCCGACGUAUAUUAGUGCGUCAGAAAAGCCUUUUCUGACGCUUUUUAUAUAUCUCCCAAUGAUUUUAUGCAUCGAGAGAGCCCUCAUUUCUUGUAGUGUUAGACAAAGAGCUUCAAUGUGGUAGAGGGGAAAGGCAUGACACCUUUAGGUUUCAUCAAAGGGAGGAUUGAGGUUCUGAUUACGGCGCUAAGGUUAACUGCGCCAUCUUCUUCUUAAUGCAAUAAAUCAUCAUUGUGCACUCUAGUGGGAUGGUGUUGUUGUCAACCAGGCAGGCGGUUUCGUUUUCAAGUCUUAGUUCUUAAUUCUUAACAACCUUUGAGUAUUGAUGCUCUACCCCAACCCUCAUCCAAAACGAUAACUAACACAAUGGUUUGGAAGUUUUUGUGAAACAUCAUCUAUACUUUUUCUUUAAUGGUCGAUGAAAAAAAGUCAGGAAAAUGGUAUUUCUGACCAUUUUAAGUGUUACCAAAAUAUCACAUUUGGUGUAGUAUGGUAUUGUUUUGAAUAUUUUUGUAAAAUAGUGGAUCAAGAAGUUUUACUAAGAUAAAGUUUCAUGUUGGACAAGAGGAUAGUGGAUGGGAAUUAAGUUGAAUGGUCCACUUUUUUUUUAAAUCCUUUAAGGUUUUAUGAAAACCUUUCACAAUACCUUUUCAUAAUCAUUUUGUAAAAAUAAUAUCAAAUCAUUUAAAUAUACCAAAAAAAUUUCAUUUCAAAUAAACCUUUCUAUGCUUAAAAAAUCAUUUCAUUUUGUCAAGGAUCCCGAAUCGUUCUCUACGCUUGGUCUCAUUACCUCGCGUUUAGACUACUGUAUCAACAGCAUCUGAGAACAUACAAAUUCGUCUUUGUUGCUCAUACCGCUAAGCUUUAUACGCUCAUUUCAAUGCAUAAGUCAGCUUCUUAUUACCAUGUAGUUCGUACACUCCAUAGUGGCCUUCACUCUUUAUGUGCACACAAAAGUUAGCAUCAUCUCAAAGAAACAUAAUAUUGAAAUCAUAGUCAUCAAAUCAAGCUUUAACAUUAUAAAUAAUGCUUGAAAACAUAACUUUUCAUAGAAAUCUUUCUGAAACAUUCUCAUCUGAAUUCUUCUUUCGAAUCAGUAAAGAGAAAUCGUAAUAAAGUUUCUUAACAUAAAUUCUUUUGACUGAAAAGCACUCACCAAACUUUACUAAAGAAGUCCUUCUCACAACCAUCUUUUCGUGUGGCUAAACCAACAACACUUUAGCAUUUCAACAAAACUCUCAUCAUCCCCUCCUUAGUUACCUAAAUUCUCCUAUUUUAUAGAUCCCUUAUACUAACUUAGUCAUGCAAAUCCUUAAUAUUUAACCUAGUCAUGCUCAAAUCCUUAAUCUUACAUGUUAACCCAUGUCAAAUCAGAUUUGACAUUUUCUUUACAAACCUUGCUCCCACCUAACCCAAACCGUGAAUAAAUUCAACCACUUAACAUUUCUCGUGAAUAACCUUAUCGCUUGAUUAUAUUUUUAUUAUAAGAAACGUUCCACAUGAACUAACCAACUUUUACUCGCAUAAAACUCUUAUCACGAACUUAAACUCCAAGGCUUCCUCGUAGACUUCUUCUCCACGAAAUGCUUGAUUCUUCUCGCGAAGACCACCCAAAACUCCUAGUCUAAACUCAAAACUUUCAUUUCUUAACUUACGCAAAGACUUUUUCGCUUCUUAUCGCACAACUUCUUUCGCGAACUACACACUUAUCGCAAAAAAGUAUACUUAACCGUAAAAGAUCUUAUCACUUAAUCUUUCCAUGGAUUUAUUUGAACACCAACUUCUUAAUUCUUAGCCGAAUUUUACUUCCUUACUCGAAUUAGAAAUGGGUCGCACAACUUCCUUCGCAAACUACCCACUGAAUCGCAAUAACGUAUACUUAACCAUAAAUUUUUUUAUCGCUUAAUCCUUUUCGUGGAUUUAUUCAAACGCCAAAUUCUUAAUACCUAGCCAAAUUUACUUCAUUACUCAAAUUAGAAAUGGGUCUCACAUUUAGAGCCUAUCGCUUCUUUAAGAUACAUGAUCUUACUGAUUCAGAGAAAUUAACCACAGGCGUUAUUAGUUUUGAUGAUCUGGCAUUGGAUUGGUACCAAGCACAAGAAGAGUUGGAAGUUUUUAAGAAUUGGGCUGACCUGAAAGAACGAAUGCUUGUACAGUUUCGAUCAAUUCGAGAAGGAACUUUGGUUGGAAGAUUUUUCUCAAUCAAACAGAAAAUGAAUGUAGAAGACUACCGCAACCGAUUUGAUCGAUAUUUAGCUCUAGUAGCAUUUCUUCAAACGGUAAGUGUUAGAGGAGACUUUGAUGAUUGGGCUUAGCCCCAUGAAUAAAAAUGGAAGUGGAAACUGUGGAACCGAUUGGGUUGGCCCAGAUGAUGAAAUUUGCGUUGAAGAUUGAGAAUAAGGAACUAGUGAGAAAAGAGUGUGGGUUGAGCAGUGCAUUUCAUGUAAAACUGCAACUCACCCUAUCUAUUGUGGAAAACAACAAUACAAUGAUGACUAAGGAAGAAACCAGCAAUGGAAAGUCUACUGAUGAGAGCUAUCACCCUGAAGGGAGUUACUGAUAGAACUAAGACAUGCACAACAGAAAAAGAAUCGAAAUUCUACCCUAAUUGGGCUUAAUUAACGAGACUAAACCAAAAAAUAAGGUUUUUAGAAUACUUACAUUUGAAGCUGCGUUUUAUUCGAACAACCACUAAGUUUGACUUAGUAUCCUCUAGACUCAUAAUCGAGUUGUGGGACCCGUUGGAUGAAAGAACCGGACGAGAGAAAUAGAUGAAAAAAAUGGGCGUGGUAAAUUUUCUUUUUUUUUUUAAGUAAAUAAGAAAAAGAAAUUCCAUUUGGUGUGAAAGCCCAAAUUUAAUAGGAAAAUGAAAGGGAAUUCCUUGGAAAGUUGGUUUGUGUGUCAUUAAAAGUCAAGGUGGAAAACAAAGUACAACAUAUGGCUAAAUGUGAGAGUAGGCGUGCAAGUAUAAUAAAUACCUACCAAGAUGUUUAUUAAUAACAUGUGUUUGAUACAUAAUUACAACACUUUGACCAAACAACCAAUGCUUAACUAUUUUCAAAACGUCUGGUCAUCUCGCUGCAAAUCCUUCAACCUUCUUCUCUACUUGGCCUAAACACCUCAUCUUGGAAGAUGAAUUUUUGAAAGAAUGUCUAAAAGACUAAGGUUUUAUGAAAUCCUUUUCGCAAUACCUUUUCAUAAACAUCAUUUCGCAUAAACAACAUCAAAUAAUUUUAUCUCGCAUAAACCUUUCUUUAUCCUUAACAUACUCAUAACAUAACAAUUUCACAUAAACACACAUUAGUUAACAUUCAUUCCUUUCACCAAGAUUUUGAAUCGUUCUCUACACUUUGAUGUAGAACAUCUCCCUUCUUGAUGUUUCUUGAGUUUUAUCCUAGAGGAGGGUUUGAAUUACCAUUUUUAUAGUUUAGGAUUAGUUAUUUGAAUUACCAAUUUUGUAUCUUGAGUUAGUUAUAACUAACUCAACUCCAAGUUAAACUAACUCAACCCCAAGUUAGUUUAACAACUCUUGUAAUCUCCAGCCUAUAAAAAAGCUUCUCAUUUUCAUUAAUAAGACAUAAAAAAAAGAGGCAUUAUACAUAAAGAUUUCUAGCUUUGCAAUUACUGCAUCAAUUGGUAUCAGAGCGUGAUCCUAGCUCACUCUUCCCUAAAAAAACUUGGAUCCUACCACUCUUAUCCAUGGACGCGAAGCCUCCUUCAACCAAGCUUGCAGUUGGUAGAACAAGCUAUUGAAGAACUUCGAAAAGGGCAGUCGGAUAUACAACAAUCGUUAGUAGAAUUAACAAACCUUUUUACCCGAUUUCAUGUCCAACCUUUAGAAGAAGCAAUUCAGCCCCCAAGAAACCCAAUUGCAGCAAACCAAGAAAGACAAGAAAGACCAAUAAACCUGUUGUAAACCAAGAACUACUAAGAAAUCAACCUAUUCACAUCCACAAUAAUCGAUUGUAUGGAAACAACGUACUUGGAAAUUUCUUAAACGAUUCUGACUCUUUCGAUGAAGACAACUUGCUGAACAUUCAUCAAGAACCUCAACAAAGGUUGGACUUCGACCAUACUUUCAAGAAGAUCAAGAAAUACGUAUGAAAGUGGAUCUCCCUACCUUCAAUGGUCGAAUGACGUGGAGAAGUUUCUUGAUUGGAUCAAGAACGUAGAAAUUUUUUCGACUAUGCCAAUACACCCGAACACAAGAAGGUUCGAUUAGUUGCUCUCAAACUUCAAGGUGGCGCAAGCGCUUGGUGGGAUCAAUUACAAAACAAUAGACGAUUAUUCGGUAAACAAUCUAAAGAUUAGCUGAAUAUCUUAUAAAAAGAUGUUGUCGUAGGCUUAGUGGUGACAAGUGAGAAAGUAAGUUGUGUCUUUUAUGACUCUUAAACGUUGAAGUCAAUCAAUGAGUUCCAAAUGCAAUAUUGGAAGUUUUCUUAAAUAUUUUGAUGCUUGUGCAUGCUGUGAAAGAACUUGGUUAGAUGUGAGAAAGGGGUUUAUGAGAUUAGUUACUUACUAUUCCCUUUUUCACUGUCAUUGCUACUCAGUAGACAUGCUAUGGGCUCGUGUUUCUGUAGAAUAUAAUUCAGAUGCUCUUUCUUUUGAAUAUAAUUUAUAUGUUCUAUCUACAAAUUUGAAGUAAUUUCUACUGCUUUUGUUAAUAUUCUCUAAAGCUUAUUCAAAAUGUAGUUGUUUAAUGACUGUUCAGAUUUAAAAUAUAUUAUAGAGUUAAAUUUAACACAGUUAAUCAGCUUAAGCAUUUGACUCUGGUGUUCUUAAGAUAUAAAUUCAAAUCCCUAUAAUUUUAUCAUGUUGAUCUUUUCAAUCUUCUCACAUACCGUCUUCAUUUCAUAAACUUGCCUACUAGCUGCGUAUCAUCAAUGAAAUUACCAUAGGAGUCCACAUGUGGUAAUUAUGGAUCUAGCACGAUAUACUGCAUAUCAUGUUGUUGGAGAUCAUUUUAAAUGAUUAACCAGUCUAUUAGAGGUUUGAGUCUUUCCUUUUGAAUCUAUAGGUUGUUCAAUGUCUAAUAUUAACUGUGUUUAGAUUUAUGGUAAUUUUCAUUCUUUUACAGCCUUAAUCCAAGAAAAUGUGUGCUUUGAUAAUCUUGUUUUCUCUUCGGUAGGUUGGUAAUGUAGAAAGGAUACAUGUAUACUAUGCCCAUGGACUAGAUAGCCCAACCUUUGUUCGCCCGUGUUAUUGGCUCGUAGAUAAGUAUGUUAUGGUUGAAAGAAAAUUGUUAAAUUGCUUGCUACCAGUUGUUUCAAUGGGGUCUAUCCCCAUCAUGCCACAAGCAAAGAAAAAUGAAAUUAGACAGUGGCAGUAUAUCGUGUUCUACUUAUAUAAUUUAUGACUUGCUUCUGCUUUUUGUUUAGGACCUUUGAACACAUUGUCCUUGUUCAUUACCGUGAAACACAAGAGGUUAGGUUCAACACAAUGCACCUGCAGUUACUGAAAUAUUAUCUUGAGACAAACUUUUAUCAUUUGGACUACUACAUCUAUUUAAGAUUUGCUGAUUUUUCCUCCAUGGUUGCAAUAUUAGAACUUCAUCCAAAAUAAUGUUGUCAUGUGUGUCUUUAAAUUUUUACUGGCAGUCUGGCACCAUAUAGAUCUAGUAGUUGUGCAUGCAUGUCUUCCUCUCUAUCCUCCAUUGAAAAACUCGAUAAUUAUCUGUUUUGUUUUAUUUGAUGAUUUAAUCCAACAUUUAUUACGGAUAAAGUCAGCCAUAAAAUACAUAUGUUUACUAUUGCUCUUUGUACAUUUUAAAUACUAGAUUUCUUGAUGAUUGUUGUCUUUAAGUUGCUCUUAAUGUUGUUGCAUAUCGAGAAAUGCACUGUAAUUUUUGUACCAAUUUUAUUACUGCUUUUAACUAAAUCUUCAAAAAUCAAGGCACCACCUGGAUGUAGAGUGUUAUAUGGUGAUUCAAGUGUUGAGAGUUCUCUUUCUUCUGCUAUGCAUAAAUUUAUGGAAUGGAAAGGCAAUGAUCAUGACACUAUUUUUUGUUAGAUAAAUACUGGUUUCAUAUGCUUCAACUCUGUGGUGCUUCACAGCACACGGAUAAAACUUCCAAACAUUCUGCACCCAAUAUUACCAUAAUGCAUUUGGACACUUCAUUAACAACUUCUUACAAUUAGCCUUUCUAGAUUGAAAAUAAUUCGUUGUCUUAACUUCCUGUUGCUGCUAGUUUCAGAAUUUUCCAUCCACAUCGUUGAACUCAAAUUCUAGUUCUGUCUCUAACCCAUCAACUCUGUGGCUUUUAUCGGAGGAACUUGAUUCAAAGGCUACUCAUGUUUAUUCUCUUGGUGAAAAUGAAUUGUCAGGUGAUACUGCCGAACCUGUCAAAAAUAAAUGAGUCAUAGUUUGUUUGAUCAUUCAUUUUCUAAUCUUUCUUCUUUAUAUUUAAUUAGUUGUUUAAUUUCUUAAAAAAGAAUUCUGGUUUAUUUAUAGUAUAUUUGGUAGUAUGCAUGCCUCAGCUCCUUUAAUGCAUGUCUCUUACAGUAUAUUUGGUAGUCUUUUAUAAUGUUACACCCUUUUUUUAAUUCCUAAUACUCUGAAAUUGUCGUCCGUUGUCCCUCAAAAUUGUCGUCCUUCUCUACGAAAACGUCGUCCUUCUUUCGAGUCUUCAUUCCCCUUUAUGUCGUCCUUCUGUAUUUAGAGGUUAUACUUCAUUCCUCUAAAACUUCCAUUGGUUUCCAUAUUUCAAGAAUUUGAAAUUUUUUUAGGAUAUUGCUAGUGGAAAUUAAGUAAAUUCUGUUUGCUCCCAAACUACCUCCUGAUUAUGCUGUCUGGUUGGGAGAAAUAAAGUCUUUGUCAUAUUUCAAGGUAGUGUAUGUUAACCAACACUUAGUGCAUUUUCGUGUUCAUGAGCUUAUUUUAGUUAAUAUGUUUUUGUAGGAAAAAUAUGAUGUCAAUAUGGCAUAUUAUACGAUGAAAUUGUAGUCGUUUAACACAAAAUUUUGAGGUUCUUUUUCAACUAAUUAUGCUUUAUCUAAUAUAUUUUUCCAAAUCUUAAAGAAGAACUUUUGAUUUCAUUGGAGUUUAUCAUUAGAGGCAUUACUAUAUUGGUUGCCUUUAAGUGGGCUAUAGGUUUUCCAAUGGUCAUUUGAGACUAGUUAAUAAUAGCAAAAGUUAGAGCUUGAGAAGAAGGAGUGAAGAAAGUAGUGAAGACAAAAGAAGAAAGAAAGCUGAGUGAAAAACGAAAAUUGACAAGGUAGAGAUGUGACAUGAAAAUGAUGAUGAGAAGUGAAGGAGGCACGACACAAUACUGGUACACAAUAACAAAGCCUUGAUAAUUAAAAAAAGGAUGGUGCCAAGAAAAUUUAAAUACAAAAAAAAUGAAGGUUCUUGCAAGUGUAUUGAGUGGAUGGGAGAAAGAAAGGAUAAAAAAGGUAGAAAGAGAGAAAGAGAAGUCAAGGGUAGAGAUACAUAGCUUUGUAUAUAGAAACUUUAUGUUUAUACUCCAUUAUACAUUGUGGAGAAUAUAACAUCCUGAUAUGUUUGAUUCAAUUUGAAUGAUGCAAUUAUUUAUUUUCUGCAAUAAUUCUACUUCUAGAACCUAAAUUUUGAAAGCCUACUAAUUUUUCAGAAUUAAUUCGAGACCCCACUUUUGCUCCCCUUCCUACCUACGGUUACUUUUUGCUUAAACUUUAAAAGUUGUUUGAAAUUUUUGCUGAAACUUGUAAAAUUUGUUUGAAGUUCAUAUAUCUCUCACAUAUUGCAAGGUUUCUUAAUUAUUUUAUUGAAUUUCCUACAUAAAUGCAUUCAAACAUGAGUUGACAUUAUUGGAAAAGAUCCGUCAUCCUAAAGUAGUUCAGUUUUUUGGUGUCAUUACUCAGAAUUUGCCUAUGAUGAUUGUUUCUGAAUACCAUCCGAAGGUAUGGAUACAUUUUCUUACCCUUUAUUUUAUUCUAAUGAAAAUUAUUUCAUCAUGUUUCAUUCCAAGCAUUUCAUUACAUAUUUUGUUCAUAUAUAUGAUGAAUGGUGAUUAGCUUUUGUAUCAACUUAUUCCCUCUUUCAUGUAUAUUUCAUCUUCCAGGGUGAUAUAUAUCAAUUGAUUCCCUCUUCAAUUGAUUCUUGUUUUUACUCUUGGCUUAUAGGUUGCUACAUGAUCGUAUAUUAGGAGCAAAAUUGUGCAAUUAGUUUAUAGUUAGGGAGAUUUCAAUAGUAAAAAGCAAAGAGAGUAAAUGGUAACAAAAUCAUAUUGUUCACAUGAAAUGAUAAAAUAAUCAUUACACAUUUACAAGAACAGUAAAUAAAUUAUGUGAUUUUCGUGAGAAAAAUGAAGAAGAAAUUGCUUCUAACAAAAGUGAAUAUAAAUUAAAGGAGAAUAUAAAAUUGUUGAAAAUAUUUAUUUUCAAUAAUUCGGAAGUUCUUUGGCUAUAUAUAAUGGAAGAGAGCCUUUCCAAGGUGUGAUGCCUGGCGUCAACAAUGACGCGCUGAGCACAGAUACGGAACCGGACACCAUCUUCUUGGUGUUUGUCUAUGCAAAAGCCUCGAGUGGCUAUGGUCUGCUUCUUCUCUGUGAGGGAAAUGGUUGAAGUUGCUAGACUAUUUCAAUUACUAUGUGAGAGGUGGCUGAAUUUUAUUGGACCUCUCUUCUUGGGCUUACUUUUUACAAUUGUUUAACAAUCUCUCUCCGAAUAUACCUUCGUCCCCUUAGCUGCUUCCCACUUUGGUAAAAUCGCCAAAGCUUUAAUUUAAGAUUUUUAGUCAAUGUAUGUUCAUGAUGUACCAUGGUCAUAUCAUAAUAGAAUAGAUCCAAGAUUAUAUAUGUUCAAACCAACUGGUGAUUUAAUUAUCAAAGAUAUUAUGAUUUUGUCCAGUUUUUUUUUUCAGUCACUACUAGAAAAAUGGAUUUUAAUCAAGACAUUGUGUCGUUGGAAAUAAAAGAAAAAAGAGGUGGGAUGAGGUACAUUGUGUUGUUGAAAAUAAAAAUAUGGAUUAUUUCUUAAAACAAUUAUAUUGACACAAUUUAAUUUAUUUCAACACAAUUUUUUGCGUCAUUAAUUAACGACAAUUUUUUUGUCAUUAAAAAAAUUUUCAAAUGAAAAAACCUCAAAUUUUAAAAUUUUUUAAUUUCCCUCUCUCACGCAAUUACAACUAAGUAAAAACCUCAAAUUUUCUCUUAAGCAAAAAUGAUGUCGUCGAAUGAAGUCUUAAUGCAAUUUUUUUCUCACUCUACGAAAAAUGCAAAAAAAAUCUCGUUGAACGAAGUGGGCUACCGAGUCGUUAUGAAGAACCCUUGCCUUCCAAUUUUUUGCCACUUGCCGUCGUCGAUUCCACACUCCAACCACUGUUGUCGUUGCUGCCACAACAAGCCUUCGUCGUCGAACCCACCAAUCUAGCCACUUUCGUCGAAUAAAUUUAUUUAGAAAUAUAAGUUUUAAUGACACUUGAAAUCAUGAAAAAGGGAUACGAGGGAAUAAAAUGUGUCGUUAAAAAUAAAAAUACAAAAUUUUUCGUGACACAAAUUGAGUUUUCUUGACAAAAUUUUCGCAUUGUUAAUUAAUGACAUAAAUUAUGUGUCAUUAAAAAUUACCCUAAUAAAAAAUCAAUGUUUUCCUUCAAUCAUACGCUUUUUGAUUUAAAACAAAUAAUUCGAAGCUUUCAUCCCACUUGUGAACAACGACCGAAAAAAACCUUACUUCAUCCCACAUCGUCGCUGUCAUUAGCUCUCUCGCAAAUGCUCUCUGGUGACGUUCCCCCCUCUCUCGCAAAUACUCUUCACGACUUUUCCUCUCUCUCAAAAUUAAGCUCUCCGCCCACCGUUUGAAGAAACUCACCAAAUUUGCAAGUAAUUGAAGAAUUCGUGGUCCAUGAGAUAGAUUAAGUCCAUUUAUGAGUUAGUUUGAUUAGAUUAUAUCACUAUACAUGUAUUACAAUUAAGGGACACUUGCGAUAAUGGCAAAAUAAGUUAUAAUAAUUAAGUCCAUAGAACACAUACUUUAUUAUUUGAGAAAAUGACAAAAACAAAGACCAACUCACACAUCAAGAGGUAAAAUGUCACAAAUGCCCUCGUUAUUGAUGUACAUUUGAUACACCUUAUACACGUCUGAUACACCUAAUACCACUUGAUACACUUGAUACUUCUUACUGAUACACUUAAUACAUUUGAUAGAUACAAUUCAUGCACACGGUACUCAUUGAUACACUCGAUACUUUUUGAUACACACCUGAAACAUCUUCAUACAUAUAAUACUUCUCGUUCCACAUAAUACUUCUCGUUACACUUGAUUCUUCUUGAUACACUUGAUACCCCUCAGGCCUUGAUACACUUGAUUAGUUUGAUACACUUAAAGACUUCACUUAUAAGUUUGAUACACUUGAUACACCACUAAUAAACUUGUUAUGCUUCAUUGGUACACUAAUAAACUUUUCUUUUGCCAACGAAAUUAAACUGUCAACACACACCGUCACGUAGGUCUAUCGAAAGAUCCUCUAUCGAUGGCAAAAAAUAAACUGUCAGCAAAACUAGGAACUAUCGAUGAAAUUGAACCAUCAGUGUGCGUGUGUGUGUGUGCCCGCAUGUGCGCAUGUCCACGUGUGCUUGGGUGUGUGUAUGCGCACAUACAUGUGUACGUGAGUAGGUGUGUGCGUAUUUUCGUGUGCAUUUGUGUGCGUGUGGUUUGGUGUGCGUGUGCAUGUGUGCGUUUGUGUGUGUGUGCGUGUAUGGGUGCACGCGCGUGCAAGUGUAUGUAUGUGUGCGCACGUGUGAUUGUGUGUGAAUAAGUUGAUAUUUUUUAAUGUUGAGUUUCUCCCAAUUUUAAAACAAUAAUUUAAUUAUCUUGAUAUUCAAGCAAUUAAUAUUAUUGUGAGAUAAAGAUAGUGAAUAAGUUGAUAUUUUUUAAUUUUGAAAUUCAAUUAAAGUUAUUUUGAUACAAAAUCUAUUUCUGAGAUUAUCAAAUUCUGAAAAUAAUAAUUUUGUUAUUUUGAAAUUCAAUUUGGUUAUUUUUGAAAUUCAAAUUCAAUUAGGUUAUUUUGAAAUUAGUAAGAUUAAAUAAAGUUAAAGUCUUGAAUCCAUUAGUUGAGUCCGAGAUAUUAAGAAAAAAGUAUGAUAUGAGUUUAUGUAUCUUUUUCAGGUAAAAAAAAAUUAAAAUCUGAUAAAUGCAUAAUAUAAAUUAAUUACAACAUAGAANNNNNNNNNNNNNNNNNNNNNNNNNNNNNNNNNNNNNNNNNNNNNNNNNNNNNNNNNNNNNNNNNNNNNNNNNNNNNNNNNNNNNNNNNNNNNNNNNNNNNNNNNNNNNNNNNNNNNNNNNNNNNNNNNNNNNNNNNNNNNNNNNNNNNNNNNNNNNNNNNNNNNNNNNNNNNNNNNNNNNNNNNNNNNNNNNNNNNNNNNNNNNNNNNNNNNNNNNNNNNNNNNNNNNNNNNNNNNNNNNNNNNNNNNNNNNNNNNNNNNNNNNNNNNNNNNNNNNNNNNNNNNNNNNNNNNNNNNNNNNNNNNNNNNNNNNNNNNNNNNNNNNNNNNNNNNNNNNNNNNNNNNNNNNNNNNNNNNNNNNNNNNNNNNNNNNNNNNNNNNNNNNNNNNNNNNNNNNNNNNNNNNNNNNNNNNNNNNNNNNNNNNNNNNNNNNNNNNNNNNNNNNNNNNNNNNNNNNNNNNNNNNNNNNNNNNNNNNNNNNNNNNNNNNNNNNNNNNNNNACAAAAUAAUUUUAGUUGGAGAAUGUGGAUAUUUUGGUAUUUUAUAAAAUAUUAUGCAUGUGCAAAAAAUGUUAUUUGCUAAAAUUAAAAAAGAAAUAGUUUUGCUAUUUUUCAAAAUGACCCAUAAAAAUGUUGUUAUAUCUCUUAUGACAGAGUGUGUAACUCCCCAAACUCGAAGGUAUUUUAUUUUAAGAGAUUAUUUCGAUUUGUUAAAGAUUUAUUUUAUUUGAAAAUAUGUUGAAAGGGAGAAAGAAGAUUUGAAAAUGUAUUAAUAUAAUUAUAAAUAUAUAUAUAUAUAUAUAUAUUUUAUAUUUUUAUUAAAUAAAAGAAAAUUCUCUUCCUCCGUGGUCCUCCAUCUCUUUCUUCUUCUCCGUGCAGCCGCACGCUCAACAACUGCCCAAUUCUUCUUUUUUUUUCUUCCUCUUUCGUUCGACGUUGACGCUCAGACCAAGCCGAAAACGAAAACCCAGUCGCCGUCGCUCUUUUCUUUUCGUUUUCUACCGCCGGCCACCCCAAAAUUUCUCUCCCUUCCGUCCGUCGAAGCCAACACCGCCGCGCCCAUCCGCCUGUAACCGCCGGCUGUCUUCCCUCUUCUUUCUCCUCUGUUUUCUACCCAGCACCGCGUGACCCUCUGCCCAGCGCCGCGCAACCUCUGUCUCUGCGCCGUUGCCCAGAUCUGCGUCGUCGUGCCCCGUCCUAAUCGCCUCUGUCUCCGUCGAAGCCAAGCCCAGCCGCCGCCCAUUCCUUUCCUCUCCGUUCGUGAAGCCGGUCACCGCGUCAGAUCGUCGAUCGAUUUUGAGGCAGCGCGCACGUCUCCUUCCAGCCGCGCGUUUCCUCUUCUUCCAGCAGCGUGUUCUUCUUCCAGCCGCAAUUCACAACCGACGUACACUCUAAUCUGUUUGUACGAUCUUCGUUGUUAGGUUCGAUCGUCGCUGCCGCCGUUUUUGUUGUGAGUUCUCUGAUAAGUAAAAUUGAUAGUUUCUGUUUGAUGGAUUGUUAAGAUAAAAUAUCAAAUGAAACGUUUGGUUAAUACUGUUCUUGAAGGUGUUGGAAGUGACAUUGGGUCCCUCGUGUUCAUAACCGAAAUUGUGAAUUUUGGAGUUUGACUAGCCAAUACUUUGUAUCUUUCGUGGGAUAUAGUUUGUUCAAGAAAUUGAGCAACCUUGAGGUAAGGGAUUUUCUACUGGACUCAACAACAAAAUUAAGAUAUAAUGACUAAUUAAGAUGUACUGACUGUAUGGACCGUAUUAUUAUAUUUAGAGAUGACUGUUAUGAUGUAUGUUUGGACAUUGACUUAAAGUUUAAUGUUUGCUGUGUUUGACUGGGAGAAAUUAAUACAUAUAUGUGCAUGGGUUGAUGUGGACUGUGGUUGAGUAUAUGUUGUGACUGUCUGGUUAUGUAUGUGUACAAAGAUAAGGAUGUGGAAACGACUAAAGCUCGUAGAUGUUGCUUAUAUAAAGUGUGGAUUUGAUUAGUAGAUUGAUUGUUGUCUAGACUGAAUGUAUAAUCUACUGUUAUGUUAUGUGCUUGUGAACGGAAGAAACGUCAUGGUUGUGCCCUUGGUGACUGAGGAGGAGGUUAUGAUUAUUUAGCUUGUUAACUGAUGUAAUGAUAUGCUUUUUAGUGACCUUGGGCUAAAUUAGAGUAAGACGACUGCUUGAGGUUAAAUUAGGAGUUUACAUGAUGAGAAUGUUUAACUGAUCUGUGAAUGACUAUUAAGAUGUUUAGAAUGGAUUGAAAGGAAAAAUUGUUAGCUUUUAUUGGGAUGUGAGCCUUGUAGGUGUCCCACGGGAUCACCAAUUAUUAUGCACCUUCGGGAGCAUUAGACUUAUAUGUGUUUCUGCAGAACACUAGACUGAAAUGUACGUCCCUCGGGGCGUUAGACUGAAAUGUGCAUCCUACGGGAUCACAAGACUGCAACUGUACAGGGUGUCCCAAUUGAAUGUUAACAAUUUAUUUUCCCCUGACGGGACCAGUAGAGGGUCUCUUACUGGGUAUUUUUAUACUCACCCUCCUUAUGUUUAAUUUUCAG
rnacentral:lncRNA from 1 species